AAUCAUACAUCCUAAUCUCUCUCAAGCAGCAUUGCUUUUCCCACCGAGAGAUGACCUGCCUGAAAAGUAUAUAGCUUUGAUGGAAGGGUGGUCGAUUGCCGUAAAGAAAGUUGCUACAAGGAGAUUUGUAUUUGGUGCGAAAGCCAUAUCUGCAAUUCAAGAUGAAGCGAAGAGCGAGUCCGUGCCCAAGCCAUCACGAGUUCAGGCCGUCUCUGGUUUUCUCUUGAAACAUCUUCUCUCUGCUUCUCGGGCAUCAUCAUCAGGUAAAUCAGUUUAUGUGUCUUCUUAAAAGUGCACCACAUGCAAUUGCGUGAUUGGCAAAGGAGGGCUAGGCGUGAUUAAUUAAGCUAGAGAAGACAAGGUUUUUCCAUUAAUUGUUAGUGAGGCUUGCUCAAAUGCGAGCGUACAAGAGUUUUCAGUAGCUUUAUUUCUGCUGCUUAGGUUAUACCGGAUUUGUUUUGUAAGUUAGAAAAAUACAACUUAUUGGAUAUUGUUAUAAGCAUCUAAUUAAUGAUAUGAAUGAAAAAGAAAAAAGAUCGUACACUUAACAUUUUUCUGCUAUUAUUUCAUACUUAUUUUAUAUUUUUGUAUUACAUAUACUGUACAUAGCUUAAAAAUGAGAAAAUAUAUGAACUUUUGCAGGUACUACUUCAACAAAACUUUCUAUAGCAGCUCAGGUAGUGAACUUAAGAUCACAGAUGAACAUGGAGACAACGUUGGGUAAUGCCAUUGGAAACCUGAUGUGGUGGGCUCCGGCCAUACUAGAGUUAAAUCAUAAAGCACGAGAGAGCAGCGAUCCUAAGCUGUGUGACUUGGUUAUCUUGCUCAAUGAAUCUGUCAAACAAUCUAACAGUGAUUACUUCGACACUUUCAAGGGUAAAGAGGGAUAUGGAAGAAUGUGUGAGCAUCUAGAUAUGGAGGGGACUGUAAGUUCUGUAGAACCAGCACCAGAGAUAUAUUCAUUCUCGAGCUGGACUAGAUUUUUCGACCAAAUUGAUUUUGGAUGCAUGGGGGAGGUCAUCUUGGAUUGGAGUUACCGGAAAACAAUCUGCAUAUUGGAAUUCCACAGUUUUAGUACCAACACAAUGUGAUACUGGAAUUGAAGCGUGGGUGAAUCUAGAUGAAGAGAAAAUGGCUAUGCUAGAACAAGAUCCCCAGUUUCUAGCAUUAGCAUCUCCAAAGACCCUAAUUUCAAGGUAUUGAUUAUGAAAGAUUAUGUGGCUCGUGCAAUGUUUCCAUUUGCAGUGAAUAAGGAUUAAAUUAGUUCCCCGGCCAAUUAAUAAGAAGCAAGGUAUGAUAGACUAUGGCUACGUAUGUUAGUAUGUUAUCCGAAUGUGCUUCGUUAUGCUUUUAACCAAUAUAGCUCUGUUUUGUAACAAUGCUCUAUUGAGCUUCUAACUAUAGAGUUAUUUUUCUUGAUUAGAAAAAGAAACUAUGCAAGUUUUGUUUUGUUAAGCUAUUCUGUUUCUAAAAGAAAGGCUAUUCUGUUUCUAAAACGGGAUGCAUGUAUUACCUAAAAAGAUGAUUCACCUAUAAUUAUUUUUCAAGUAAAUGAUUAUUUGAUAGCAAUCACGCCGUGUAUUUCUAUAGCUAAAAUUGUAAUUUAGAUCAGUGACAACAUGAUUAAAAGUUACAUAUUCUGAUACAUUUGUUAUUUAACGACAAGUGUGGCCAUAAUGCCUCACCUAGUCACCUAAUGCGAAGACCUCUACGAGAGACUAAUGUCGUCUGAUCUUCUUUUCUUAAUCAAAAGAAACGAAAAUGGCCACAAUGCCUCACUAUUCAUAGAACCAUACAAUAAUUUGGAACAUAUGCAUGGAUGCAAAGAAAAAUAACACAAGAACCAUCAUAAUUUCACAUUAUAUGAGAAACUUAGCCAAAUCCGAAUCACAUCCAUGUUGGCCAAGAGUGACUAAAGAAGACCACCCAGAAAGCUAGAAAACCAUAAAAUCCAGAAAACUUGAAUAAGCUAGGGAAAAAACAAAAAUGUGACAUUCCAUUUCUUCUUGCGGUUUUGUUAGGCCAAAUCAAAAUCUCAAUGACCCUGCAAUCAUUUACACACACUCUUUCUCAAUCUCUGCAAAACUGACUGCUUCCCCUGAAAACUUGCGCAAUAGGGUACCUAGCUCUCUGGCCUUUUCUUUCUAAUGCACAAUUUAUGGCUUUUGGUAAUGAUGAUUUUAUGCUUGUGGAUCUCAGAUGGGUUUGUUUUGUUUUGGGAUUUUUAUAAAUGAAUGCAUUGAAAAUGUUGAAAGCUUAUGCCUUUGUUCCUUGGUUCAGUGUUCUGGUUUUGUGUACGUACGAGAGUUGAAAUGUGAUCUCUAGUAUCGGUAAAGAGAAAUGUUCUAACCAUGCUAGUGUUAGUAAUUUAUCUUCUAAAGUUGUUUGAGUACUUUACUCUCUUACUUUACUAACUAAGCAUAGGAAAUAACGACCUAAACUACCUGAUUUUCGUUAGUGCUUGUAAACACGAAAAUUCCUGUAACGAAUAACAGAAAGACAUGUGUACAAAAUAAUAUAUUUGUAUUGAUUGAAUUUGCGGGUUACAAUCUCUAUGGGUAUUCUUUUAACAAGAAUGUCCUCUGAUUCGAUCUCCGAUGUUGAUUUGAUCCAAGGGUGACAAGCACUUGAUCUUGAAUUGAACUGUUGUAGUUUGAACUUCUUAUUGUGUUGACGAUUUGUAGAAGGAAGUUGACCAAGGGCCAUAGAGGCUUGAUCUUGGUCGAAUAUGGGCCGCGAGAGGUGUCACGUGGUGAACGUUCUUCGACUUGAUAGCGGAUGAAUCGGCACGUGUGUUUGGUACUUGUUGAUUCUCCACGAGGUUGUUGAAGAACUUGGUAGAAGUUUUGAUUUGUUGAAAGACUUGAAGACGAGGGUUGAUCAAGGGCCGUAGAGGCUUGACGUUGAUCGAGUUUGGGCCGAGCAGUUCCACAUGGUGGUUGCUCUUCGUCUUGUAGUUGGUGAAGAUGUCAGCUAUUUGGCAACUUGGGACUCUUCGGGAUUUGACAACCUAUAGGCUUGAGGUUGAUGAAGAAUCAACUAUUUGGCAGCUUGAUGAUUCUUCAAGGGUUUUGGGAGAAUUCUAAACUCUCGGGAGUAAUUUUUCUCUCUUGUCUGAAAGUCGUCCUCUUGAUAUGAGAGGGGGUAUUUAUAGUGUUAAUGCUCCUCCGUAAAUGGAAUGCAUUGAAGUCACAGCUUUAAUUAUAUUUCCUUAAUGAUAUAAUUAAAUCAAUCACUUUUGAUUGAUUGAUUCAAUUAUUCAAUUUCCCAUAAUUAAAUCAAUCAGUCUUAAUUGAUCGAUUUAGUUAUGAUCGAUAAGGUAUUUCACUAAUUUGAUUAAAUUCCGACUUCCUUUUCGAUAAUUGAUUUGAUUUGAUUGAUGUUUGAUUAUCGAUUGACAUUUAAUAUUUUAUUUUAGUUGGGAUUGAUGAUUUUGUUGUCGACCGACCAUUCACACGCCGCCACGUGUUAUUUUCGAAGACUUUUCAACUUUGCUGACUCACGAGCCACGUAUGCACGAGACUUUUCAACGUCUCUAAUUUACAUAGUAAUUGACGCAAUUUGGCCGAACUGUUUCUAAACACACUAAGCUUCAGUUCUAUAUAUACCGCGUACCACAUGUUUCAUCAAGUGUCAGAUAAUACAGAACCUACUUCGCCAAAAUGGAGAAAAUUGAGGUCAGUAUAAUUUCCAAACACACCAUCAAACCAUCAACUUCCUCUUCACCACUUCAGCCUUACAAGCUUACCCUGCUCGACCAGCUCACUCCUCCAUCGUAUGUCCCCAUGGUAUUCUUCUACCCCAUUACUGGCCCUGCAGUCUUCAAUCUUCAAACCCUAGCUGACUUAAGACAUGCCCUUUCCGAGACUCUCACUUUGUACUAUCCACUCUCUGGAAGGGUCAAAAACAACCUAUACAUCGAUGAUUUUGAAGAGGGUGUCCCAUACCUUGAGGCUCGAGUGAACUGUGACAUGAAUGAUUUUCUAAGGCUUCCGAAAAUCGAGUGCCUAAAUGAGUUUGUUCCAAUAAAACCAUUUAGUAUGGAAGCAAUAUCUGAUGAGCGUUACCCUUUGCUCGGAGUUCAAGUUAACAUUUUCAACUCCGGAAUAGCAAUCGGGGUCUCCGUCUCUCACAAGCUCAUCGAUGGAAGAACUUCAGACUGUUUUCUCAAGUCGUGGUGUGCUGUUUUUCGUGGUUCUCGUGACAAAAUCAUACAUCCUAAUCUCUCUCAAGCAGCAUUGCUUUUCCCACCAAGAGAUGACUUGCCUGAAAAGUAUGCCCGUCAGAUGGAAGGGUUAUGGUUUGUCGGAAAAAAAGUUGCUACAAGGAGAUUUGUAUUUGGUGCGAAAGCCAUAUCUGUAAUUCAAGAUGAAGCAAAGAGCGAGUCCGUGCCCAAGCCAUCACGAGUUCAGGCUGUCACUAGUUUUCUCUGGAAACAUCUAAUCGCUACUUCUCGAGCACUAACAUCAGGUAUGUAAAAUCAGUUUAGCAACAAGCCAAAUACUAAAGCAACUAAAUAAAAACCUAUUGUAUUUGGGGUAGUCCCUUAUUAGCUGUUGUCCUAAACUUCUAACGAUAUGAACUUUUUUCUCAAAAGAAAAAAAUAGUACACUUAACAUUUUCUGUUAUAAUUUCAUACUUAUUUAUAUAUUUUUAUUACAUACAUAGCUCAAAGAAUGAGAAAAUAUAUGAACCUGCAGGUACUACUUCAACAAGACUUUCUAUAGCAACCCAGGUAGUGAACAUAAGAUCACGGAGGAACAUGGAGACAGUGUGGGAUAAUGCCAUUGGAAACUUGAUAUGGUUCGCUCCGGCCAUACUAGAGCUAAGUCAUACAACACUAGAGAUCAGUGAUCUUAAGCUGUGUGACUUGGUUAACUUGCUCAAUGGAUCUGUCAAACAAUGUAACGGUGAUUACUUUGAGACUUUCAUGGGUAAAGAGGGAUAUGGAAGCAUGUGCGAGUAUCUAGAUUUUCAGAGGACUAUGAGUUCUAUGGAACCAGCACCAGAGAUUUAUUUAUUCACGAGCUGGACUAAUUUUUUCAACCAACUUGAUUUUGGAUGGGGGAGGACAUCAUGGAUUGGAGUUGCAGGAAAAAUUGAAUCUGCAUUUUGCAAUCUCAUAACAUUAGUUCCAACACCAUGCGAUACUGGAAUUGAAGCGUGGGUGAAUCUAGAAGAAGAAAAAAUGGCUAUGCUAGAACAAGAUCCCCAGUUUCUAGCACUAGCAUCUCCAAAGACGCUAAUUUCAAGAUAUUGAUUAAGGAAGAUUAUGCGGCUCGUGCAAUGUUUCCAUUUUGUUGUGAUUAAGGCUUAAAUUAGUUCACCAGCCAAUCAAUAAGAUGCAAGUAUGAUAGACUCGGUCUACGUAUGUUAUCCGAAUGUGUUUCCACAUGCUUGUAACCAAUAUAGCUCUUGUUUGUAACAAUGCUCUAUUAAGCUCUUCUAUCCAUAAAGUUAUUUCUCUAUUAAAAAGAAAACUAUACAAGUUUUGUUAAGUUUUUAAGGUAAGAUGCAUGUAGUACCCAAAAAGAUGGUUGACCUGUCAUUAUUUUCAAGUACAUGAUUAUCCGAUACAAUUACAUCAAAUAUUUCUAUAGCUAAAAAGUAUGUAAUUUUGAUCCGUGACAACAUGAUUAAAAAGUUAUAUAUUAUGAUGCAUUUAUCCUCUAACGACAAGCAUGGUCAUAAUGUCUCACCUCAUCACCUCACCAAGCGCGGAUCCAGUUCACAAGUGGGUAAGGCUCAAGCCCAACCAAGAAAAUUGGGGGAAAAAAAAACCUAAGUAUAGAUAUAUAUUUUUUUGGGUGAUAUAUCAUAUAUGCCCAGCCAUCAAGUGACCAAGCCCAACCCACCUAACUCAACCCAUCCCACUAACUACCCAAGUCCACAAUCAUCACUCAUCACUCAUCCACCCAACCUCCUUCAUCGAAGGAGUCCUUUAACUAAUCAGCUUAAACACCAAGUCUAAAAGUCUUCCCUGCUCUUCCCCUCCGCCUCCACUCAGUCACUCACCUAUGACCUAUCCCGGCUAUCCGGCUAUCCCUCUUCCCCUCCAGUCCUCCACGGCUCCACCAUAAUCUCCUUCUUCCCGGCCUCCUCCGGUCCUCCGAUUCCUCCCGGAUAGCGACGACUCGCCUCCGGCGGUCCGGACCUCCGCGGCUCCGCCUCCAGUCCUCCACUCACCUAUCCCUCUUCCAGCUGCUAGAAAGCUUGUUCGAGACUUGGUCCUCCACAGACAACCCAUUAGUCCAUUACCCAUCUUUCUUCACUCUCAGCCAGCAUGGUUGUACUAGAAAUUUUUUUUUGGCCUUCGGCCAAAGUUCAAGCCCACCCCAUCUUUAAAUCAUGGAUCCGCCACUGCACCUCACCAUAGUGUCCUAUCCUCUUAGGAGAAGGUAGGCACCUAAUGCAAAGGCCUUUAUGAGAGACUAAUAUCGUCUGAUCUUCUUUUCUUAAUCAAAAGAAAUGAAAAUGGCCACAAUGCCUCACUAUUCAUAGAGCCAUACAAUACUCUGGAACAUAUGCAUGGAGACAAAGAAAAAUAACACAAGAACCAUUAUAAUUUCACUUUAUACGGGAAACUUAGCUAAAUCCGAAUCAUGGGCGGAGCCAACCCAGGUGAAAUUUUGAAGCCCAAAAAAUUACCUGAAACAUCGUCGUUUGGGUGUAGGUUAUUUCUCCGUUUACUUCUUCUCAAUCUUAGUCAUAACUCACACCAUUGCGUCCGUAGCCCGUCGUUGUCGCUAGAGCGGUCGCCAUUUCCCAUAGCCCGCGCCGUCGCCCGUAGACCACAUCCCGAGUCAGUCAGUCCCCACUUGGCUACUUCCCCAGGUAUGGCUCAAUCGGAUUGCUUAUAUUCUGAUCGUGGACAUAGCAGGCUUCAAUUCAAAAGCCAUCAUAUUCAUAUGCUUCAAUGUUGCUUUACUUCGUCUAUAACUAGAGUUUCAGCUUUGCUUCGUCUUCAAUGUUGAUAUGUUGAUAUAAAAUAUUAACUUGAUUAGGAUUUGUUGAUAUAGAAUAUUACCUUGAUUAGGAUUUGUUGUUAUGUAAUAUGUAUUAGGAUAUUUAUUACUCAUAUUAGGAUUUGUUAUAUGAUCUUACAUCCUUACGAAUGAAUAUACAUCAACACAAUCGAAAUCUGCAUGGUCAUAUUAGCCUUAACUAGUUCAGUCCAAUUCAUAUUAGUCUUAAACUAGUUCAGUCUAAUUCCUCAUGGGUAUAUGCUGAACUUUAAGAUGUUGAUCUUCUAUAAUAACUGAGUUCGAUACCAGAAAUCUUUGAUGAUUGUCCACAUAUGUUAUCUUAUAAUCCUAUAUUAAUUUGUACUAAUCUCAUAGUCUUAAUUUGAAAGCUCCUUAUACGUCUUAACUUGGAUAUGGAUGUGGAUUUGAUCUUAUUAUAUGUAAUAUUAAAGUGAAGUUGUUGUAUUACACAGAAUGUUUGAUGAAUAAAUAACAAAUUGAUCGCGUCAAAAGGCUAGAUCAAAAAAUUUCUUGCACCAUCGAACAAAUUUUCUUGUGUAUACAAUUUCAUGGUUCCGCCACAUUGGCAACAAAGAGUGAUUGGAAAAGAAGAACACCCAGAAAGAUAAAAACCAUAAAACUUGUUUAAGCGAAAAAAACAAAAGUAUGCCAUUCAUUUCUUCUUGCGGUUUUGUUAGGCCAAAAAUCAAAAUCCCAUGAUACCCAAUCAGUUACACACUCUCCCUCUCAAUCUCUACAGAACUGACUGCUUCCCCUGAAAACUUGCGCAAUAAGGUACCCAUCUCUCUGGCCUUUUCUUUGUAAUGCAUAUAAGUUCCUGUAAAUUUUAAAGCUUUUGGAAUGAUGAUUUUAUGCUUGUGGAUCUCAAGAUGAGUUUGUUUGUUUUUUUCGGGAUUUUUAUAAUGAAUGCAUUGAAAAUGUUGAAAGCUUAUGCCUUUGUUCCUUGGUUCAGUGUUUUGGUUUUGUAUACGAGAGUUGAAAUGUGAUCUCUAGCUUGACUGUUGGUAUUGGUAAAGAGAAAUGUUCUAGAAAACCAUGCUAGUAUUAGUAAGUUAUCUUCUAAAGUUGUUCGAGUACUGUACUAAGCAUAGGAAAUAACGACCUAAGCUACCUUAUUUUCGUUAGUGCUAGCUGCUAUGAGAAACUUACCCAAUUCGUUGUUAAAAAUAGGGAAAAUACCCAAAUACUCAAAAAUUAGAAAGCUAAAACCCAUUCCAAUGAAAUUAUAAUCCUUUAGCUCAUUCCUAUGUUACACCGAUACUCCACCCCACGGACACUCCAACACUCCCGACACACCGAUAUCGAUACGAUACACCAAAAUGUGUGUCCGACACGCCACGUGGCGUGUCAAAAAAAGUUGACUUUUUAGACACGUUACGUCAGCCUGAGACACGCCAAGUCAGUGUGUAUUGAUUGAAAAAAAAAAAUACAGAACUAAAAGUCUAAAACCUAAUCGAAGAGGAAGCCCACUUUAAAGAAGCCGCAUAGAAGAGGAACGAUGUCACCGUUCACUAUCACUGCGAGAACGACGUCGUCUGUCCAUGUCAGUGUGAUUGUUCCUCCGAUGACACCACUCUGCGAGAACGACGAGAACAGCGUCGCCUUUCUCUGUUACAGCGACUCGUCCUCCGUCGGCCUAAACCCUCUCUUUAGUGUAAGGUUAAUCUUAAUCUCAGCUUUGACGUGUUUGGUGAUUGCAGUCUCAUUUGCAGUAACAGAAAAGCAUAUAAGAUUUUAAUCAUUUUAUGAUCAUUCUGAUACCACUUAUAGAUUUUUAAGGCAAUGUGCUAUUGAAGCAUCUGCACUGUGAUGUUAAGUGUCAUGAUAUUGCUCAAUUGCUGAUAGGGUAGGAUGGAGCUAGACAUUUGAGACUUUGCAAAAUUGAGUUUAUACCUACUAGUAUUAGAUCAUCAAUUAGUUGAGAGUUUGUAGGAGGUCAGGUUUUAUACUUGGUGAGAAACAUCGGCUCAUCUGUAUUUGUAAGGAAGAUUUAAUUGAAAGGAGUUGUGUAUGGAUUGCUUAUUUGUUUAUCUUUGCUCUGUUAAUUGUUAAUAUGUUAUGAUAUGCUGCUGUGUCUAUGCUGAUGUGCUUAUGCUACUGUGUGUCUAUGCUACUGUGUCUAUGCUAUUGUCUUAUGUUGUUUUGUUGGAUUAUUAUGAUUAGGAUGAGUUCAAGUGCGACAUCUACUGAACCUAGUGUUGAAUCAACUAAGCCUGAAAAAUUAGAUGCUCCUCUAUCAAGGAUAAAGGAUGAUGCCAAUGCAUGCGUGCCUUGCUCUUAUGUAUUUUGAAUAUCUCAGUUAUGGGGUUUUAGGCAGUUGGUGUUAUUAUAGGGUUAGGAAAGUCGGAUUUUCAUUCAGUUUGAUGAAUGUGUUGAAUUAGAUAAAACUAUUUAGUAAUCAUCCUUUAGAUUAAAUAUUGACUCUCUUUUAUGUUAUUUGUUACAGUUAUGCAAUUGCUUAAAUUUAGAGCAUUAUUUAAGCAAUGUGAUAAAUUUAUUCAUAUUUGAGCAUUUUUUUAUUAAUUAGAAAUAUACAAAUAAGUAAUUAUAUUUGCCGUGUCUAAGCCGUGUCGAAAAUGUAGUCUUUGAGUUUUGCCGUGUCGCCGUGUCAGUACGUAUCGUGUCGCCGUAUCCGUGUCCGUGUCCAUGUAACAUAGGCUCAUUCCAAUGAUUCUUAUGCAAAAGACAUUAUUANNNNNNNNNNNNNNNNNNNNCUCUCUCUCUCUCUCUCUCUCUCUCUCUCUCUCCUCUCUCUCUCUCUCUCUCUCUCUCUCUCUCUCUCUCUCUCUCUCUCUCGGUGUACGACGAUGCAAGGUUGAAGACGCAGCCUCCUACUGAGUCGACGAGACCGCGCUCGUGGUCGUGAUUCUCCUCAACAGCGACAUCGAUUUUGGCGGCACCUCUCGGAGAUGAUCCUCAUCUGCCAGAACCUCUGCAACAAUCUCUAGAGCCCUAACGAGCACAUCCGGGGCGUCACGCUCCAGUUCCUCUACUGGUUGAGCAAGUUGGAGAUUGUCCGGCCGUUGAUUUCAUCGAUUUUGGCCAAUCUAGUCAGAGAUUGAGGUCUGUGUUUAGUGCAAACAUGGAUAACGUUCUUCUUCUCCUUUUUUUAUCGGAGAUCGUGUUUUUGUUUUUGUUUUGGUCAGAGAGAUUGUGGUUUUUUCCCCUUUUUUUUUCAAUAUAAUGGUUAUUAAAUGAUAGUAUCUUGAUUAUUGGAGUAAUUAGUCUAUUAUUGGGAGGUAAGAAGUAUCUAGUGGAGGUCAAUAAACAUUUAUUGACCCCAAUAUUGCUUUUAUAAAUUUUUUUUGAGAUGUAGGGAUUUGCCUUAGAGGUAAAAACUUCCUUUUUAACUCGAUUACUAGGAAUCAUUAACUGAUUAUUGAGGUUAAGUAACUGAUUAUUGAGGGUCAGUAAGUGAUUAUUGGGGUUCAGUAACUGAUUAUUGGGGGUUAAUAACUGAUUAUUGGGGGUCAUUUUGAGAGUCAGUAACCGAGUUAUUGGUGAUCAGAAUCCAGCAACCGGAAAAAAUCUGAGUUACUGGGGGUCAGUAACUAAGUUACCGGUUAUCGGAAUCAGGCGACCGGAGAAAAUAUGAGUUACUAGGAGUCAAUAACGGCGACCGAAGAAAUUUCUGGCAACCGGGGACCGGAAUCCGGCGACCGGCAACCAGAGUCCGGCGGCGGGUGACCGGAGUCCGGUGAGAUUCCGGCCAAGUAUUCUCUCUCUUCCACUUUCUCUCUCUAUACAUGUUGAAGUGGUGAGAGUAAAAUUGUCUUAAAAAUAUAUAAAAAUUAUUUUUUAUUAUAACAUUAGUAAAGAUUUGUGCAUAAAAAAUGUUACCUUAUAUUGGAAUGAGCUCAUGAAAAAGAUUAACAUUAAAAUGGGGAAUAAGAGGUUUAAAUUAGUAUUAAAUUGACAUUUUCCCUUUAAAAUAAUAACAGAACCAUCAAUGCCGUGAUAGUCCCUUAAUAUUUGGUGGCUAAUUAGUAAUGCAUUCAUGGUAGUUGUGCUUAUUUUGUGCAUGUAUUCUAAUUCUAUCACUUGCAAAAUCGUUGUGGAAGGUUAAGAGGAGAAAACAGAAAAUGGGGCAGCAUGCAUCUCAUUUUAUUUCCGAUCAUAUUUUCAUAUCAUAGACGUUCACUAUUUAGAUAUACAUGAGUUGAUCAUCUCUACAAAAUUUCAACUAAUUUAGUUAUCAUUAAGGUAUCGAAAAUGUAUUAAAUCAAUGAACGAACCGAAUCUGUUCAUCCUGAACUGUACGUUCUAUUAGUUCUAAAUCACAGUUUUGAAUGUCUUAAUGAUUAUCAACUUGGCUGAAAAUUUAUAUAGAUGAUCUACUGAUAUAUAUACCUAAAAUAUGAACGGUUGAGAUGAGAAAAUAUGAUCGAAAGUGGGACAAAUAAUGAAAUCCGUACCUUAGAUAAGGUAAGGAGGUCCUUACCUGAUCAAGAUUGUGUGUGUGUGUCUAUAGAGUUUAGGGUUUAGAGUUUUAGGGUGUCAUGAAGAUAUCAUACAUCCUAAUCUCUCUGAAGCAGCAUUGCUUUUCCCACCGAGAGAUGACUUGCCUGAAAAGUAUGCCGGUCAGAUGGAAGGGUUAUGGUUUGCCGGAAAGAAUGUUGCUACAAGGAGAUUUGUAUUUGGUGCGAAAGCCAUAUCUUCAAUUCAAGAUGAAGCGAAGAGCGAGUCUGUGCCCAAGCCAUCACAAGUUCAGGCCGUCACUGGUUUUCUCUGGAAACAUCUAAUUGCUGCUUCUCGGGCACUAACAUCAGGUAAAAUCAGUUUAUCAACAAGCGUAAUGUAUUUGGGGUAGUCCCUUAUUAAUUAGCUGUUGUCCUAAACUUCUAACGAUAUGAACUUCUUUUUCAAAAGAAAAAAAAUAGUACACACUUAACAUUUUUUCUGUUAUAAUUUCACAUUAUUUAUAUAUUUUUAUUACGUAUAGUGUACUGUGUACAUAGCUCAAAGAAAGAUAAUAUAUAUGAACUUGCAGGUACUAACUACUUCAACAAAACUUUCUAUAGCAGCCCAGGCAGUGAACAUAAGAUCACGGAUGAACAUGGAGACAGUGUUGGAUAAUGCCAUUGGGAUCUUGAUAUGGUCGGCUCCGGCCAUACUAGAGCUAAAGUCAUACAACACCAGAGAUCAAUGAUCUUACGCUGUGUCACUUGGUUAACUUGCUCAAUGGAUCUAUCAAACAAUGUAACGGUGAUUACUUUGAGACUUUCAAGGGUAAAGAGGGAUAUGGAAGCACGUGCGAGUAUCUCGAUUUUCAGAGGACUUUGAGUUCUAUGGAACCAGCACCAGAGAUUUAUUCAUUCACGAGCUGGACUAAUUUUUUCAACCAACUUGAUUUUGGAUGGGGGAGGACAUCUUGGAUUGGAGUUGCAGGAAAAACUGAAUCUGCAUAUUGCAAUUUCACAGUGUUGGUUCCAACACAAUGCGAUACUGGAAUUGAAGCGUGGGUGAAUCUAGAAGAAGAGAAAAUGGCUAUGCUAGAACAAGAUCCCCAGUUUCUAGCGGUAGCAUCUCCAAACCCCCCAAUUUCAAGGUGUUGAUUAAAAAAGAUUAUGUGGCUUGUGCAAUAUUUCGAUUUUGCAGUGAAUAAGCCAAUCAAUAAGAUGCAAGUAUGAUAGAUUCUGUCAAUAUGCUUGUAACCAAUAUAGCUCUUGUUUGUAACAAUGCUCUAUUAAGCUUCUAUAUAUCUAUAGAGUUAUUUCUCUAUUAAAAAGAAAACUAUGGAAGUUUUACCAAGGUUUGUUCUGUUUCAAAGGUAAGAUGCAUAUAAUACCCAAAAAUAAUGUUCACAUAUAGAAUCACAUAAAAUAUUUUCAAUACUUUAGAAUCUAAUUUGGGUUCGUGACAAAAUGAUGGGAGAAUUUGAUAUACACCUAAUUUUGAAGAAUGGUUUUUAAUAAAACUCAUCUAAUAUUCUUUUCUGAUAUACAUCUAAAAUAUAUCAAUGUUCUAUUUUUUUCUAAAAUUUACACAAUUACCACCAUUCAACUAUAACAUAUAAACAUAAUAAAUAAGUUUAAUUGACGAUAUAUCUUUAAUACCUUGAUUAUGAGUUUUUUCUUGUAACACCAACACUUUUCAAUCAAUUUGCAAGAAUCAUGUAGGUUUCUUUAUUUUUAUAAAAAAAUCUAGGUGAAAGAAAUUCAUUCUCUGAUCUAUACAUAAAGUAGAAUAUAUUAUAAAUAUAUAUGAUCUAAACCUUAAAACCCUAAACCCUAUACCCUAACCCUAAUACCUGACUUGUAGGAGUUGGAUAUAAUACCUGAAUUUUAGGAGUUGAGUGAAAUAUUUGACUUCUAGGAGUUGGGUAAAAUACCUAACUUGUAGGAGUUGGAUAUACUACCUGACUUUUAAGAGUUGAGUGAAUUUCUGACCUCUAGGACUUGGGUAAAAUACAUUAUUUGUAGGAGUUUUGUUUUUCUUUUACUACCUUGUCAAAAUGUAUAUUGGUUUAGAUACCUCAUAGCUAUGUUAUCUAUUAAUGUCCUAUUCUAAAAUAAGCAAAUAUACCUAAGAAGAAGACAAAGUAAUCUAAGAACACGAUAUGUGCCUUAUAAUGAGGAACACUUAGUGUAAGUAUUUUCUUGACCAUUUUCUAUUUCUUGAUCUCAUCUCCGUGCUUUUCUUUUCUUCAAAACCUUUCUUCGACUAUCACUUGGAGAUACAGGCGAGAAAUACCAUGAUGGUUGCCCUCGUUCUUUCUUGCAUAUCUCAAUAUUCAGAUCAAAAUUUGUAUAUGCAUCAUCAAAGCUUAGAUUUAUGUUUACAAUUGAUGUAGCUAUUCAAAUUUGAAGAAAGUUAGGAGCUACAUUUGAGGAAUGUCUUCUCAUUUAAUUGGAAUGGCAAAAUUUUCUCAACAAAACAAAGAAAAUCGGAAGGGCAAAAAAGUAAGAAAAAAAAUGUGACAAUUUAUAAGGCAAGUUCAAUAAUGUGAAUUGGGUGUAGAUUAAAAUGAAAUAUAUGGGUAUGGAUUUAUCUUAAAAAUGGCUUCAUUUUUUGGGUUUUUGUCUAAUUUUCUCCAAAAUGAUUGAAGAGGUACAUAUUUUGAUACAUUUGUUAUUUAACGACAAGCAUGUACAUAACACCUAACCUAGGAGGAGGGUGUACGUAGUGUCCUUUCCCUUAGGAGCCUCUCGCGAAGGCCUUUCUCAAGGGACUGAUAUAAUAUAAUAUAAUUUUUUCUCUUUUUUUUCUAAUCAAAAGAAACGAAAAAUGGCUUCACUGUUCAUAAUUUGGAAUAUAUAGUGGAUUAUACGGUAAUUGUUUUGAGGGAGCUUCUUUCUCAUGUAACAUCCCAAACUGCACCUCUUCAGUUUGAGCACGUAACAGUGCCGCGAAACUUUAAAACAUAAACCGAAAGCUAUAAUUAUAUCCUAAAGUAACGCAAGGCAUUUUUGUUAAAACUUAUCGAAAAAUACAACGGAAGCUAAACCGAAAUUUGAGGUGAAAACGUUUAGUUUUUGAAAUUCUAUUUGUCGUAAUUUCAAUUCAAAUGCUCACCAAGUAUAAACAGAUAUUAGGGAAUAAACAAACAAAUAACCGUACUAGAAAACAUAUUUUAACGAAGUCCAAAACUACAGGACUCGAGAGAAAAUUUAAUUGAAUUAGGUUAACAACCAAACGACAAAUUAUAAACUUUGACAUGCACACCCAGCUCCGUCCUCCACUGUCCCGUCAGCAGUGCACAGUACCUGCACACACACACACACACUAUUGUAGGGGUGAGCUUUCGUCCUCGCUGCUCAGUAAGAGCUGUUCUUGACUAGAUUUGAAAAUCAAUAUUCAUGGGUACCCAGUAUAAAAACAAUUUAAAACCAAAUGCUUAAUGUAAACGACGUGAGUUAAAAAUCAAUGCACAUAUUUCAAUAAAACUAGCGCCAAGUCCAAACAUCACCUGAUGGCCGGUCCUCAUCGACCCACUAUCCAACUUACCUCAUUUUUCUUGUGUACAACAGGCAAGUGUAGUGAGAGUGUCCAAUUACGCCCUAUCGCCUAGAAGCAGUGUCACUCCACAAGGGAUGUAAGACACUCUUCCGUCCAUAAAGGCCCCUCCGGAGGUUUAGGGGAUCGAAACCCAAGGAAGUCGCUAUGCCCCCCUCACUCUCAAGCCAUCAAUAAAUCUCACGGUUUGGUCAAUAACAAUCAUAAUGUAUAACCAAACCAAACAUGCAUCAUUCAUAUAAAACAUGGGAAAAGCUUUAAUCAAGAAAAGUCAUGAAUCCCUUACCUGGAUUCCGACGCUUUUCCUCUCGUGCUCCACGAGUCAUGAACCUUUCGUUCCUUGAUCACAGGAAUUCCUGAUGUCCAACAUUAAUGUCGUUAACAUAAUAUCGACAUAAAUAUUCAAGUAUCGACGAUUAGUAAAUCGUCAAAUCAACUCAAGAGUUGACCAACAUUAUCCACAUUUGACCACUCAAUACUAAUAGUCAUUCUUGACCAAUUAUGUAUCUUGAACCCAUUUGAUUUACAAAUACAUCAUAUAGUAAGCCCAUAUAGAAUUACUAUAGACACCCGUGGUACUUAGGCCACUUUUCUUUAAACAUAUGCUUGAUUUCAAUUAUCAUGUCAAAACCAUUUCUCUGCCCAGGAGUUGAACUACACUCCUAACCAAAUUAAAAUCAUUUUCUUAGUCCGAUGAACACUACCACAAAUUCAAACACAGAGCUACAAUUCCUUUAUAUACGAACAGAAGCCAAGCCUAUCAAUCACAAUCCAAUACUCAGUAGAAGAAACUAACUUCGCAGUUCAAUACUUCAAUACUAAAUAUACAAACAUCAUUCUCCCAUCCUUAUAUCUCAAUCACCAUAACUAGACUCUUUUAAAAUCAAUAUCAACCUUUCUUUCCAGCCAAGACAAUUAUACAUAAGAGAUCCUUAAUAACAAUUAAACCAAAUUCUCAAUUCACUACCAAAUCGGUAAUUUCCAUUAGAUUUCAAUACCAUGACCAGCCCUUCAUCCCAUUCACUAUAACCUCCCUAUAUACUUCAACAUGAACACAGCAGUACACAAAGUGUCGAUCUUUACAGAAUUAGCCACACACAACACAACCCAAAUACCUUCAGCAUCUUUCUAUUUAUCAAACACCAACAUCCUAUUUCAUUCUAACUAUAACAACUAAACAGAAACUUAACUUCCAACUGGUCCAUAAUCAACAUAAACACAGUAAUACACAACUAGGCACCAGACUUUUAUAGAACUAGCCACAACGAAAUGCACAACUCAAACAUCUUCAAUAUUAUCAAAUUUAUACCAAUCAGCAACCAACAACAAUCUCUAAUUUACUUUUCGAAUUUACCUUCGAUAAUCUUGGUCAAAACAGAACUUGCUCCUUCACUGCCCAAAACUUCUUGUUGAAGAAUCAAUGACCCAAAACUCAGCAGCCCUUCAAAGUCCUGGUUCACUAACGCAGCAGAGACCAAAACCAAACCCAGAAACAAAGGAGGUGGGGACGAAUUCCGUCAAGGGCAGAGAAACAGCCCAGAAAUCCCAUAAACUAAAGUCAAUAAACUUCAAUCUAAACUGAAAAAUAAUUACCCUAGAACGAUGAGGACGACGAGAGAAAGGAAACCAUACCAAGAGAAGUCGGCUUCGCAGCCCGAAAACCCAGAAAUCCGGCGGAAAACUCGAACCUUCUUGUCGUCGUUCCUCCUCCUACGGUCACCGAUCGAAAAAAUGAAGGUUAGAGGAGCAUCGGGGACCUCAAGGCGGUUUGGUCGGUGGUGGCCAGUCGUCGGGUAGCCACCGGACGGUGAGGCAGCAUUGAUGCUCGACGUCGGUGUCGGGGAGAGAGACUGUGGUGGUCUGACUAGUUGACUGAGUUAGCCCCUUAGGCCCUUACAUACUCCUCACCGACUUUAAUUCCAGCGGCUAAGAUUGGACGGUCUAAAUUUUAAUGGUCCAGAUCUCACCGCAUAAAUUCCUUAUUAUUUUCUAACUUCCCAAAAUCAUAUAAAGUAGCUCGGCACUCUAAUUCCCCGAAAAUUUCCAUGAACUCAUCAAGGUACGUAUUUUAAUAUCAAACUCUAAUAUCAAGGUUUUCACCUUGUAGAAAUAUCUGAAAAAUAUCCUCGAGCACUAACUUAAUAACCGAAAUCGUAAACCAAUCCACGAACGAUCUCGAUAUAAUAAGCUCGAUAAAUUUCCGGGGUAUUACAUCUCAGGUCAAGGGUUCCAAUGAAUUUGUGCAAUGAGAUUCGAUUGGCAACAGUUAUUUGGGUAUCAACUCUCCGAUUUAGCACUCAUCAGUACCUCAUUGUUGUUGACGAUGGCAAUGAUGACGUUAGCGAGCAUGAAUGGUGUGCGUGGUAGAUUUAUUUGUAUUGUUGCAUUAUUGCUUUCGGAUGUAAGGGUUUCACCCUGUAGAGAUUAGCGAGCAAUUGGUCUCAUCUCAUUCUUUCUAUCUUGAUCGAGUUGGAGAUCCAUACACUUUAUUUGUAGUACUUUUUUUUCCUCACGUUUACAGGCUUUGUAAUUCCCUUGAUUAAUAAAUUAUCCAUUUUUCAUCCAAAAAAAAAAUCUGAAAAAUAACACAACAACCUCAUAAUUUCGCUUUAUGGGAAGAGACUUAGCCAAAUCCGAAUCACAUCCACGUCGGCAACAGAGAGUGACUCGAAAGAAGUGUGCACCCAGAAAGCUAAAAAUCCAUAAAAACCAGAAAACUUGAACAAGGGAAAAACUAAAGUAUGACAUUCCAUUUCUUAUUGCGGUUUUGUUCUGCCAAAUCCAAAUCCCAUGACCCAAUCAUUUACACUCCCUCUCAAUCUGUGCAAAAUUGACUGCUUCCCCUGAAAACGUGCGCAAUAAGGUACCUAGCUCUCUGCCCUUUUCCUUGUAAUGCAUUCAAGUCCCUGUAAAUUUUGUGGCUUUUGGUAAUGAUUUUAUGCUUGUGGAUCUCAAAUGGGUUUGGGUUUGUUUUGUUUUGGGAUUUUUAUAAAUGAAUGCAUUGGAAAUGUUAAAGCUUAUGCGUUUGUUCCAUGAUUCAGUGUUCUGCAAUUUGUGCCUUCUCUUCCGGAUCUGAUGUAUGUGAUGUUCUAGCUAGUUGUCUAUUGGGUUAAAAAGAUAUUAUCUUUUGAUUGUUUUUGAUAGAACAUCAACAUCAAUGAGAUGAAUCUGAAGUAGGUUAUUAGUUUGGAGAUAUGUUAAUGGUUAAUGAAUCAAGCUGAAGUUGUUCUGGUUAUUGGAGCAACAGGUUCUAUACUGAAGCAUCUAAUUUUGAAUUUGCAAAGAGUGGUUGACGAGUUAUCCUUGGGAUUGGUGGGUGACAUUGAAAAAGUGGAGUUGAAAUCUGUUACCAUGAUGUGGGUUCUAUUAAAAGACUCAUUCUUGAAUCUGGGGUCAUGUCCUGUGAUGACCCAAUUCUUGCAAAACACAACUGAGAUGUGUCAAAAUGGGUUCCGGAGCGUUUUUAUAUAUCGAAGUAUCAUGAGUUUCGAUACUAAGUGAGGGUGCUGGAUAGAAUUGAGUUUGGAGGUUCAAUGCUUCAAAAACAAAGGAGCUAGAGGAACGUAAUUCUUGAUGAUUCAAGACGGAUCAAUUACCUUGUAAUUAAGUUGCUGAUGUGCAAUUGUUGAGGUUAUGGUGUUUCCGGUUUGGAUACAGAUAGCUAUUUCUGUUUUAAGUAUAACCAACAUGUGUUGUAUCCUACAUACUAUUCUUCUUCAUUUACCUGUCUUUGAUCUGAUGUUCCAUUGGCAGAGCUCCCUUAUGCUAAACUGUAAAACCUGCAUUCCAGGUGGUCAUUCUGUUAGUAGAACUUUGGAAGGUCUCUGAAAGUAAACACUCGUCGACAAAUUUUGGGAGCAGUUGCAUAAAAGGAAUGGUCUCCCAACUCGGAGAUAAUGGAGACGCGUACUGGAAAUUCCCGUCCCAAUAAAAAGCAAUCUUUGGAGAAGUCUAAAUCUGCCACUGAAGAGAAAAGACCUGCAGAAAAAGAAGCAAACACUUCUGUGUUUGUCAACUAUGGUAAGUUCAUUAGAUAGUAAGUACUGAGUUUUCCAACAUCGCUGUAACACCAUGCAACUAACUCAGUACUGUAGAUAGACAUCUAUGUUAGUCUCUUUAGAUAAUAUGCACACUUUAACUUUUCAAAUGAUGUCCUCCAUUAGUUAAAUAGUUGUUCAAAAUCUCGUAUGUCACAAUAUUUUCCCAUCUCCAAAACCAGGUGUCCAUAAUCAUUUUCCCUCUUUGUUCACUAAACUAGUAAACUCCUCACUUAGAUUAAUGUUCUAAAUCUUUUAGUUUUUGUUCCAUCUUGACAUCACUUGUGGCUCAUUACUCCCCUGUAAACCAACUUCUACAGCCGAUUUAUACCAAAAGGAAUUCGACCUCUCAUGAAUGAGAAAGGUUUUUUUUUUUUUUUUUUCUCUUUUGUGGGGAAAGAAGAAGUAUGCAAUAAUUUUGGAAGUAACCUAUCCCCUAUCACCAUUCCUUGCAACAAGCAAUUACUUCUGGCAUUUUGUGGUUGAUGUUGUUCAUUUUGUAACUUUUGUUCUUUCAUGAUAAUAAAGCUAAUUUCUCAUGUAGCUGCAAUUGCUUGGCAUGAGAGUAGAAGAAAGUGGGUAGGGGAUCAGCGGCUGCAAAGAAUGGCCAAAGAUCCAAUUAUAAGGUAUUUUCUCCUCACAAAGGUUCCUGGAUAGAAUGGGGUUAGCAAGUCAUGGUUAAAGAGUUACACCUUAAAGUUUAUAAACAAAAGAAAAGUUAAAGAGCAUAACUGCCAUAACUUAUAUUCUUUGUAGGUACAAAUGAACUAAUUAACACUGGUGUGUCACUUUUUAGGAAAUUACACUUAUAUUUGAGUAUCUGUCACUCUGUCCACUACGUGCACUUGACUUGCUGAUCCGUAAAUCCUAGAUUUUUCAAAAUUGCUCCUUAGUCCUUUUGUUUGGUGUGUGUCUAUAUUAGUAGCUUUGUCCAUUUACUUGCUGUUAAAAAUUGUAGCUGCUAUAUGAAUGUCAGGAAGUUAAAUGUGAAAACUUUAUGCUGCAUAUUAUAGCACCAUUGUAAUGAUUGAUGAUAUUAGUGUCUUUGUCCAAUUAUUUUCUGUUCAAUUAUUGCUACUUCUUGAAGAUAAUGUGGAAAGUUUAUGUUUCAGCUGGUCAACAGCCUAUGAGGAUCUACUUUCAACCAAUGAGUGUUUUCCUGAGCCGAUCCCCUUAACUGUAAGUUGAUCAUAUAAUAAUAGCACAUACAUGUCCAAUAAAUAUCUUCUGAUUCCUUAGGUGUUACUGUUUUCCCUUGUUAUUUCCAUGUCCAAAGGAUAAAAUUUGUAUGUUAUUAGUAUUAUCUUGUCAAACCUUUUUCUUAAUAUUGUGAAUCUCAAUAACUGGUACAUUGUGCAGGAGAUGGUUGACUUUUUAGUUGAUAUUUGGCAUGAUGAAGGUCUGUUCGAUUAGGCAGUCCAGAAAAGUUCAAAGUAGACCCUCUACGAUCCCUGAUUACAGAUGAUAGUCUAAAUCCUUGUAGCUGAUUAAUCCCAUGAACUGGGAAAGCUUUGGCACAUAUGAACAACAGUAAAUCUGAACUGUUCCCCUAAUUCUUUGUAUGAUAAAACUAGAUAUUGUUAAACAUUGCCGCUACUGUGGGGAAACAAAAAAUGAAUGCAUCCUCUUCAGGUCAGAAUGAUGAUCUAUGAAUAACUUUCAGGACAACUAUGUUCUGUUUCCAGAUAUCAUCAGAUAUUCGGAUUUGAGGUCCUACUGAGAAUCAUGUAAUCCUACAAUCCUACUUUUACUUCUUUUUAUGAACUAAACCCUUUGAGGUAAUCAAAUGAGGAUGCAACAAUGACUCAAGUCUCUUACUAUGUCUUCAACAUCGCUAAUGACCAAAUUAGUUAAUGGUUUCCAGCAGCAUUGAUAAAUUGAAAAAAAUUAGAGAUUUAUCAAUUUUUAAAUGAAUUUUUGCUCCAGUAGUAUUAAGAAGUUGAUAAAUUUAGAAAUUGAUAGAGAAAAUUGAUAAUUUUAUCAAUUUUGGGGAGACAAUUAACUAAAACUUAGCUAAUGUAUACAAUUUAGCGCAAUACUGCUGGAGCAAAAGUUCAAAAAUUGCUAUUUUAAAUCUAAAUGUUGAUAAAUUUAGCAAUAAAUUUAACUCUAUUACUGGAGAUGCUCUUUUCUUCUGUACUUACUGAGAUAAAGAUAAUUUUCUUGGUGUUAAACAACUUUCUCAUUAAUUUUUACCAAGAUAAACUUGACGUAUUGUUUUGUAUGUACCGGUUUUAGCCUUCGAUUUUUCAUUUGAUUUUAGUGAUAUAAUUAAAAACCGCGCGUACUAGGUGGUGGGUAGUUUCCUCAUUUCCUGUCCCACUUUGGAAAGAUGAAGGAAACGCGGAGACGAAAAGUCUCCGUUUCUAAAGGAAGAACAAAACCCGAUUCCAUCUAAACAGAGUUUUUUUUUCCGUUCAAAACGUUGUUUGAUUUUCUGGGGAUCAGAAGGAGCUUAGACUCUGAGAAUGAAGAAGUUCAAGAGCAUGUUGAAGCCGAAGCCAAACCCAACAGAGCAACUCAAAGAUUGGCAGAGACGACUUCGCCAAGAGAGCCGCAACAUUGAGCGCCAGAUCAGAGGUGAUCGUCUAAGUUUUGUGUUGGUUAAAGUUUCAAUUUUUAUUGAGGAUUUGGUUUUGUUGUGUUAUUGGGUGACAUGUGUUUGUGUUGUUUUGGUGUGAAAGAUUGAUGGUUUUUCGUUUGGUAGAUCUUGAGAGAGAAGAGAAGGUGGUACAGAAAGCUAUUAGAGAAGCUGCAAAGAGAAAUGACAUGGGCUCAGCCAAGGUAGUGCAAGUUUUUCAGUUGAAAAUGUUACUCAAUCAUGAAUGACUUGAUAGAAAGUUAAAAACUUGUUGCAAAAAAGUUUGUGUUCUUUGAAGUGGAAGGGAAAUCUAUUUGCUUUGUAUGUUGUUUUGUAUGUGAAUUUAGAACACAAUGCCAAUAAUGGCAGGAUGAUGUUUUAGUCCUUGGAAUCUUUUUCUGCUACAUUUGCAUGUAUAUCUCAAGUGAAUUUUGGGUGUUUUAGAUUCAUUGGUGUUGCCAUUUAGAUUGUAGAACUGCUAGAUGUGUGCUUGCGUAGCUUUAGUACCGUGUGAAUUUAUGUCUUGAUUUGAUCUGUGAAUUAUUUUCAGUCACUUGCAAGGGAGAUUUUGGGGUCCAGGAAAGCUGUAAGUCGCCUUCAGGAGAAUAAAGCCCAACUAAAUUCUAUAUCUAUGCACUUGGGAGAAAGUGUUGGUAUUGCUUCGUACUCUCAAACAGUAUUCUAGUUACUGCAUAUGCAUUUGUACUAUCUGCUGAUGUAUAAGCUAAUUAGCUUGAACAAUCUCAAUAACUUGGUGCAUCAUACGUCAUGUUGCCUUUGUAUCUUUUAUGCAACUCCACAAUCCAUUCCCAGCCCCUUUUCCUUGGCUGAAAUUAGUUGUGUGAUAUGGUUUAUGUUCUUGCAGCACUUGCCCGUACUGUGGGACAUCUAUCGAAGAGUACAGAGGUCAUGAAACUUGUCAAUGACCUCACAAGAGCUCCAGAAAUGGCUGUCACAAUGCAACAAUUUACUAAAGAAAUCACCAAGGUAAUAUCCCACAUUGGGUGCUGGUUGCCUGUUAGAACUUUUUCUACCUCCUCUAGUUUCUUAAGUGCUAGCUUAAUUCUGUCUCUCCUCUUGUCUAAGUGGGAUCAUCUGUUGUUUUACUGUCUGUUCUGGUUUGUUUAGAUGACCUAAGAUGCUUAAUGGUGAAUUCAUCUUGAACCUGGAGCGUUAUUUUUUCAUUGUUUGAACUUCUGUAACUAUCUAUUUCUCUUGUUUAAUCAACGAACACCGAAAGUACAUUGAAUUAUAAUGUCUAAAUAUUUUUUGGAUAGCAUAGAAAGGAUGAAUUGUAUCUAAGCAGUGAGAGGAACCCUGUGACUGGAUCCCAGUGUUUGAACCGUGUUUUUUCAAUAAUGUGUAACAUUGAAUACCAUCUGAACUUUCAGGAAAUAUACUGAAGUGUACUUGUUAGGUGCUUGUGUAUUAUAUCUAUAUAUCUACUUGAAAUGUUUGGGUGUAACACUUUGGUCAUACAGGCUGGGCUAAUUGAAGAAUUUGUAAACGAUGCUCUUGAUACAACACUAGAUUCGGAAGAUAUAGAAGAGGAAACUGAGGAAGAAGUUGAGAAAGUUCUGAGUGAAAUAGCCGGUGAGACGGCUGCCCAGCUUCCGGAAGCUGUCAGGAAAGAGAGGACCAAGUUACCUGCCCAUGUAGCUAGUGCAUCACAAGAAGUAUGUGUUAUAUGAUAACCAUUUCUAGUUUUUCCUUGCUCAUCACAAGAUUCCAGGACCUAAAUUCUUGUUGCUAACUCUUGCAGGAACAAGCUAUAGCAGAGGGUUCAGAUGACGAAGAGGAAUUGGAAGCAUUGAGAGCACGGCUUGCUCAAGUCAGAUCGUAACUGUUCAUGAAGUUGUUUCCAUUGUUUCAUUGGCAUUAGGAAGAAUGUGGUUGUGCUUAUUCUCUAAAGGCUAUUAGUAGUACUUGUAAAGAUAUUUAGAUAAAACUUUAGUAUGAACUCAAAUAUUCUUUUAUGAACAACAUAAAAUAGUUCUUCUGUAUUAAAUGUUAUAUUACAAGGUUCGUUUAUCUUAGUGCAUGUAGAUCAGAUGCUUUUCAGGGUAAUAUAUAUAUGAUUCAAGUAGCCUUUUUAUCUUUUAUGCAACCUCCACAAUCCACCCCCGGCCCCUUUUUCCUUGGUUGAAUUCAGCUUUUGGCUUUAUGAAAUGUUUUAUGUGCUUGCAGCACUUUGCCGCACCGUGGGUGUUCUAUCAAGAAAGAUGCAGAAAUGGCUGUUACAAUGCAAGAAUCUACCAAAGAAAUCACCAAUGUAUUGUCCCUUUCCUACCUCUAUUUUUUUAAUUUUUUAUUAUUUUUUUUACUAGUGUUAGCUAAGAUACACAGGGGGAUUUCUAAGCUUAGAUGUAAAAUGCUUCAACCAUGCAUUGCAGCACAAUGUCUUACCACAUUUAUAAUUUCAAGGAUCAAACUCAGGUUGGGGAGCAAGAAUCAAUAGGCAAGAACCACUAGGCCGCUUGCAGUGGUUACCUAGCUCUAUCUACUUUCAAGUGCUACCUAGAAUAUCUAGUGCUGUCUCUGCUCUUGUUAAAGGGGGAAUUUCGUCUCUUAUCUAGUGCUCAAGAUACUUUGCAAGUUUGCAUGGGUUUAUUAAUUUGAUGACCUUCAGGUCUAUCAGAUUCAUGCGCUGUUUGUACUAUAGCUUUUGCCCGAAAGAUCUGUUUAUCAAGGAUACAAAUAUGCUCGAUCGGCAUUAUAUAUAAGCUCAUAUGGAUCAGCUAUGCUAAUGUCUAGUGACUCUUGUUUUGGAUGUCCAUCAGCUCCGCCCUUCUUAGUUUGUCAUUCUUAUACGCUUGGUGGCUAGUGCUUGGAUCUGUCGACUGUGCUUUUGUAUACGCUUGCAAUUUUCAUCAGCUCCCUAGCUUCUCACACCUCUCUGGUCUUUACUAAUGCGUCGGCAUAACAAUUAACCUCCUACACACAACUUUCAAACAAUAUAUCUUCUACUCCUCCAUUCUGUUUGUUUGAACUUGGAAAGUUGGAUGUGAUUCUCUAUACGUGACAAAUAUGUGCUGGUGGUCUGGUGGCCCAUAAUCUAACAUGAUAAACAUGAAGUAGGGUAAAGGAAAAGCAAUGGCGAAAGCUGCAGUCGGCAAGUGCCUUCCCAUUCUGUCAAAAUGUUAUUAAAUGACAUAUUUAUCCUUUUACACAAUGACUAUUAAAGACACUAAUUAAACAAAAAGUAAUAUUAUAUUUAUUCUCUCUAAAUUUUCUAAUUCAAUAAUAAUUGAGUGCAUUUUAUUAUUUUCCUUAUUGAUUUUCUAAUUUUAUCACAUACUUAUUAAAGCAUUUAUAUAUUUAUAUUAGCCCUUUAUAUUAUCAUACAUGUCACAUCCAUAUACAAAAUGAAAAAAUAUUUUUACAAAAACUAUAAUCUAUCAAUUAUUAAAAAAUAAAUAAAUAAAUAUCAUAAUAUUUUUACAAAAAUUAUGAUAUAUCAAUUAUUAAAAUAAUUUAUCAUCAUGAGGUAUAAAAACAAAAAUAUAAACUUACGAAAAAAUAGUUAUGUAAAAUAGAAAUACAAAAGUAACAAAAAUAUAGAAUAGUUCAUGUAAGAAUAUUCGUUUGAUGAUCGAUAAAUAAAAUUUGAGACACAAUCCUUGUUUUUUUAAUUUUUAAGAGAAUAACAUUCUUCAUGAUUCGAAUUAACUUUUCUCGAAAAUUGAUGUCAUUAAAAAUUAUUUCUUACAAUUUGAUCAAAAAAUGAAUGUCUAGUGAUUUUUUAUGCAAAAUAAAAAAAUUCAAAAAAUAAAGAAAAUCAAGAAAUCAAGGUCGGGAAUGGAGGUUUGCGUUAAAAAGAAAAAAGAAAAAAAAAUUAAAGAAUGGAAGUUGGGAAUGGAUGUUUGCAUUUAAAAAGAAAAAAUGACAAAAAAGAAUUGGAGGUAUAGUGAGUGAAUAAGAGGUGUAAUGAGUAAUAUAUUAAUAUAUAUGUGAAUUACAUAAACAAGGCUAUUUUAGGAAUUUGAAAGGAGGUCUAAUAAACAAAUGCUUGUAUUUAAAAGUAAAAUGGAGGUGUAAAGAGAAUGAGAGGUAUACUGAGCAAAUUUGGAGGUCCCAAUAACCACACUCUUAAUGAUAUUAUUGAAGUGGGUGAAACAAGAAGGUCUUCGAGUAAUCCUCAUUUUAGUCGAUAUUGGAAUUUGGAAGGGCUCCCUAGCUAGUCUGCGGUCAAUUAUCCAAAUAUUCAUAUCCGACUGUAUUCUCUCUAUUUCUCAUUAACUUUAGGGGAUGGAUGUCACACUCACAUUCAACAAUAUAUCAAAGUAAAUUAUAUGCAAUUAUUCCUUUUGUUUUGUGUGGUCUAUGUCUCAUUUCAAUUUUCAAGUCUUAGUCUUCAGUUUAUAGUCUACCCGGCCUCGUCUCGAAUCAGUUUAAGGUUCUCUUAAUUAUCAGAGUCACUGACAGACUGAGUAUGUCUCUGAUGAGAGUCACUGGCAGUUGAAGCUUCUCUUAUCUUCCUCUUUCAUCUAACCUCAUGCCUCCUCUUCCUAAAUGCUAUUUAUAUUUUACGGGUUCUUUGUUUAGACAGCUUUCUUUCUUUGGCUGAUUGGUUCAUUUCUCAAACAGAAGAAUAGCUCAGAUCUUCAGUUCAUCAUUGCAGUAUCAUAUUUCAACAAUGAAACGCUGGAAAGAUGAGGAAGACCCCGCUGAACCAAGGUAAAAUUAUCUUCUAUUUAUUUGUAUAACCAGGAUUUGUUUGAUAGGCUUGUAGUUUUUGUAAUCCUUUUUUCUUUCGAAGAUUAAUUAGCUAGGCUACGACUUGAAGAUAAAAACCGAGAUCAAAAAUCAUUUUCCAACAAUAACUAAAAAUUAGUCCGAUAGGUUCUCACAUUUCUCUGAGCCAGGCACCAUUUUCCUUUAUUUUUUGUUUUUUUUUUCUUCCUAAAAGCGACUCCAUAGACUUUCACUUUCGCGUAUCUUCUAAAAUUGCAGUCAUGGUAAUUUAUAUUAGAUCAGCAUGAACUCCCAACACACAAAUUUUAUAUAAUUACAUAAACAUAAGUAAUAGAGAUAUAUGACUUAUUAGAUCCUACAUACCCAUGUAAACCAAUAGUACGUACAUCCGUACUAUUGAUACGUACAUACACAAAUUUUAUUUUUUUUUGUAUGUCGUACCCUGUGUUAUAGGUGCUGUAUGAAUAUAUCACAAAGGAUACCAAGCCUGCUCGGAUGCAUAUUUUCAUGGUGAGUUGCAAUCUCAUGAAGUCACUUAUUCCUUUAUAUCUUGGUGAUCAACGGGCAAUGCGGAUGCCAUGGAAUGGAAAAAAAUUAGCAAGGCCGUCGAGGCAUCUUUUGUUUUCCAUCCAUCACAAAAGAAAAUAGAUAUGAACUCUCUCCACGUAAUGUUGAUUUUACGCUACAUACUUCGUUUUCGUAGUUUACGCUACCCUUAAGAAGCACAAAUUGCUGAUUGUUAGGCUUGGAACAUGUCUCUUCAAAGUAUUCCGGAAAAUUCUUGACAAUCUUGCGGAUUUAAAGUGGAAGGUCGGAUGCUUCUUCCGGGAGAAAAAUAGACUUGUAAUAAGACCAUGGUGGGAUAUAGUACUUGUAAUAUCUUGUGUCAUUGCCGUCUCACUGGAUCCUUUAUUCUUUUACAUUCCGACCAUCAAUGAGGAAGAAAAGUGCCUUGAAAUGGACACCAAGUUGAGGACUGUAUCUCUCGUUUUGCGAUCAUUCACGGACAUCAUCUUCAUUUUAGACAUUUUAGAGCAAAUUUCUAAGGCUUCAACAAUAGCUGAGAUAUGGUGGUCACUUGCAACAGACUUUCUUUGUAUACUUCCCGCUCCACAAGUAAGUAAACUUGUACUGUUUUUAAGAUAUAUACAUGGCUAAUAUCGAUGAAAAAUUAUGAAAUCUGAAGUUAUAUAUCUAUUUUGUGUUAGCUUGAAUCAAUUUGUCACUCACUUCUACUCUUAUUAAAAUUUGUGUGUUCAGGUGUUGAUCGUAGUCAUCUUUUACAAAAUCGAUUUUGGAUAUUUGAAUAAUUCAACGAUUAUGAAUGCUCUUCUUCUCAUUCAAUAUGCACCAAGGAUUUAUCAACUUAAUCAAUCGUUUGACAAUCUUGAGCAUGGUAUCGGAUUAUGGGUCAAAAUUGUAUUCAAUUUUUUCCAAUACAUCCUUGCUUGCCACGUAAGUUUAAAUUAUUUUGUCUUUAUAUAUUCAUAAUUCUCCUUAGCAAGGGUUUUACUUUUCUUAGUGCUUUAACAAUAUUAGUAACCAAUUUGCUUGUCUUUAGAUACUUGGAGCCUCGUGGUUUUUCUUUUCUAUUCAACGAGAGAUGUUAUGUUGGUACCAAGUUUGUGUAAAGCAUAAGACUUGCGGAACAUAUUUCAAGUGCAACGACGUCAAUAGUUCGAGAAAUAUCACAAAACUAGUUGAACUUUGUCCAAUGAAUCCACCAAAUUCCACCGUAUAUGAUUUCGGGAUAUUCGUUAAUCCUCUGGGAACUAGUAGCAGAACACCAAUAAACUUCUCGACGAAGUUCUCAUACUCCUUUUGGUGGGGAGUGCGAAAUUUAAGGUUUGCAUACACACACACACACAUCUAAUGUCGUCUUCAAUUAUGAUUAUAGCACCAAGUCGCUCAUAUAUAUUACUAUAUUAGCUCCAGCCUCUAAUUCUUCUUUCAUUCUUUUGUAGUAAUUUUGGCACAAAUCUUCAAACAAGUACGUAUCUGUGGGAAAAUUGGUUUGCAAGUCUGAUUUCCAUCAUCGGCUUGCUACUCUUUUUAUAUCUCAUUGGAAAUAAUGUUCAGGUUCGUAUAUAUUGAAUCCCCCUACUUGUUAUCAUGCUUGUCAACACUGACGAUUCAUUAUUCCAAGAUGUUCAAGUUGGAAAGAUUGGAUUCCGAUAGGCUCAUGCACAUGCAUCUCACUCGCGAUUCAUCAUUUUUGCAUUAUUAACCAUCGUCAGAACUCAGAACUACGAGAUUAUGCAUAUAAUUUACAAGUAUACCUAUGCAUGGAACUGAGCUAGCGAGCUUGUUAUUGUUUGUUGGGAGCAGACAUAUAUGCAAAUGAAAACUAAGAAAGCGGAGGAGGAAGCUGAAAGGUUACGGCUUGAAGCUGAAAGGAUAAGGCGUCAACAGACAAGGAUAAAUUUAUGGAUGGAACGACAUGAUUUCCCUUCGUUUGCAAGGAAAAACAUCGAGGAAAAAAUGACAGAGAAGUAUAAAGAAAACAAAGAGGCUAAUCUUGAUAAUGUACCGACUCUAUUAUCCUUUAUAACUUCAGGUUACAAGAGGUACGCAAGGGUUAAAAUCUGCCAGAAAAUGCUAGAGAAUGUAAGUCUUCAACCUAUAUCGCUCUGUAUAUGCAUGGAUCAUAACAUAUGUUUAUGGAAGUUACAUGCAUGCAGGUGCCAUUGCUUAAGGAUAUGGAUUUAGAUGUGUUGCUAACAAUUAGUAGAAGAAUGGAGAUAGUGGUGUACCCGGAAAAUACUUGGAUUGUUGAAAUGGACGAGCCAUUGGAUCGCAUGGUUUUCAUUACGGAAGGGACUAUGGGGAUCUACACGGCUAGAUCAGACUGUUCUCCUUCAGCAGUCAUUCAAGGGUCUCUUGAGAAAUGCAGUAUUUAUGGACAUGAACGACUACUGAGGUGGGUACUCUCACCCAACCCAGAUCUCGACCGCCUUCCUAUCUCGAAAGAAGCUGUCAAGUGUAGUACCAAAGUAGAAGGCUUUGUUCUCACAGCCGAUGACUUGAAGACAGUGCUAUCUGAUAAAGGUGUAAUCGGGGAGAAUUGUUCUGAUGAAGAUGAUGCGGAAGUUAGUGAUUCUAGUCUGAGAUCGUCAUUCCUUGUAGCAACAGCAGUGUCUCGUUUCCGGCGCCGCCUUCGAAGAAAGAAGCCUGCAUUACAUUUAGAUUUCGACCCCUCUAGCUUCAAAGGAUUAUGAGUCUGAUCCUAGUGUGACCAUUGUAUUGGUCGCACAAAAAUAUCACUGGUCGCUAUUAUAUAACAUCCAGAUAUAUAAACUUGAAGUAUGAGUCAUAAUGAAGUGCACGAUCAUAAUGAGUCACUAAACUAAACUAGACCUAAACAUAAUUGAGAACAAUUGAGUAUACGAAAGGAACUACUUCAAUUAAAUCAAAGCCAUGAAAUUUGAAGUAUGAUCACUCGCCUAGCUAGAACGGUUCACAACAUGUAACUGUGAGCCGCUUUACACGUUAUUACACCCCCUCUUUCCGUUUUUCUUGUUUAUUCCGGACCCCACCUCCUCGCUUUCCCUUAUUUUAAGCCACUUCCGUUUCUUCAAAUCAAAGCAACGAGAAGACACGUCACCACCCCAAACCAAACCGCCUUCUGCCGCGUAAUCCCCUCCAUCCCACCCCCACCCAAUCAAACCUACACAACACCUAAACGGCCACGAUUCAUUUCCCUUCCUGUACCCCACCGCACCAGAUCACCCCUCCCCAACUCCUCCACAACUACUUAACAGUCCACCAUCUGAGAGGACCGUUAGCUUUCUUUCCCAAGAAACCCAAAACAUGGAGCUCCCAACCUCUCUCCUUCUCGUCUUCUCCGUCCUUCUCUCUCCUCUGACCGCCCUCGCCGGAGUCACUGACCCCCGCGCUCUCGGCCUCGCCAGGUCCAGCUUCCCCUCCGUGCACGCCCAGCAGCUGAUCCGAGCCCUCAAUCUCUUCCCCGAGUCCGAUGCCAACAUCAUCACCGACGCCGGAGAUUCCUCUCCGAUCGGCGCCGGGAAGAGGAUCGUCGAGAAGCGGUUCACGCUCCCCAACGUCGUCGGCGAGUCCGGUGUUUCCGUCGACGACCUCGGCCACCACGCCGGUUACUUCAAGAUCGAGCAUUCUCACGCCGCCAGGUCAGGUUUUGAAACGUCUUAGGGUUUUGGAAUCAUGCAUUCUGAAAUCUCAGUGCGAAAAUUUGAAAUUUGAAGUCGAAUUGUUUGGAUUUUAUAUGAAUUUUAGGUUUGAUGAGUAUCUGAGCUAAGGGUCUAUGAAACUGAGUUUGGAAUUUGUUGAAUUUUGGGGAAUUUGUGUUUUCGAUGCGGUUUAGUUUAAUUUUUGGUGUGCUUACUGUUGAAAUUUGUGUGAUGAUGUAGGAUGUUCUACCUGUUCUUCGAGUCUCGGACCAAUAAGGAGGACCCUGUGGUGAUAUGGCUGACUGGAGGCCCAGGUUGCAGCAGUGAAUUGGCUGUGUUCUACGAAAACGGUCCUUUCUCGAUUGCGAAUAACUUGUCUCUUGUAUGGAAUCAGUACGGUUGGGACAAGGUAAUCUGUAUUUCCUUGUUGGAAGUAGUAGAUACAACUUCGGAACUACUGAUGAAUAGUUGAAUACAUUUUAUCUAUAUGCCUAAUAUGAGAAGAUUCUUAUGAUGUCGAGUAUUGGUUGUGUGUAUAAAAAUUGUUUCUUUGAUGAAGAAGAGAAGUUCCUGACAUGAGAAGAUUCUUAUGAUGUCGAGUAUUGGUUGUGUGUAUAAAAAUUGUUUCUUUGAUAAUAGUAUUACACUUUAUCUUUCUCUAUCAGUUUUUGUCAAAUAUGAAAUUGUUAGAGGGUUGAUGCUAUAUGAUGUUUUCCAGCUCGAUUGUUUAUGUUGUGGUCAUUGAAAAGUUUAUAAUCUUUUCUUAUGGUGUGGAAGGCAUCAUAAUUAAAAGUAUGCAUACUGAGUUUAUUGUGUCUUAAGUCCAUCCAAAGUAGAAUACUCUGUAAAUGACUGAAUUGAAGGUCUGUGUCUAUUGGUCUAUGUUCCUUUGCAAGAGAUCUAACAUUGCUCUUUCUUUUGCAGGCAUCUAAUCUAUUGUAUGUCGACCAGCCUAUCGGUACAGGAUUCAGUUAUAGUUCUGACAGACGCGAUAUUCGUCACUCUGAAGAUGGUGUUAGUAAUGACCUCUAUGACUUCUUACAGGUGUGUCACUUAGCCUUCGCUGCUAAAACAAUUAGGUUCAGUGUAAUUUAGCUAGAGUUACUGUCUUACUGAAUUUUUGCUUCCUAAAACAGCUGAACUAAUGAAUUACUUAAGUUUUUUAUAGUAUAUAUAAUGAUUCUCAAACUUGAAAGCAACAUCUUUUUGGGAGAAUCUGCUUUUUUCACCUUUAGAAUUUCAGUGGAGGAAAGCAAACGUUUUAAGUUUAUUAGUAUUGACUUAUUGUGAUCUUCAAUUAUGUCAGGCCUUCUUUGCUGAGCAUCCUGAGUUGGCAAAGAAUGACUUCUACAUAACUGGAGAGUCAUAUGCCGGGCACUAUAUUCCAGCUUUUGCUGCUCGAGUUCAUCAAGGAAACAAAGCUAAGGAAGGAAUUCAUAUAAAUCUAAAGGUAUGCACCUCCAAUAUUUUCUAGUUUUGAAAUGUUUAAUGGAUCCUUUUAUGGCUUAUUGGACUAACAAAAAACUGGUUGGAACAGGGAUUUGCCAUAGGCAAUGGGCUCACUGAUCCUGCUAUCCAGUAUAAAGCAUACACAGAUUAUGCAUUGGACAAUGGAGUAAUCUCGAAAUCUGACUAUGACCGCAUUAACAAAGUUCUUCCUGUUUGCGAGAUGGCUAUAAAGCUGUGUGGUAAGUGGCAAUGAGAGCGGUCCCUUCUCAUUUUUGAUUCUAUUUUUAGAUUCUUUUCUCUUUUUUACUGGUUAAGAUUGGCAAUUCUGUUGAUCAUGAUUUCAUAUUAAGGUGGUCAGUGACAAUGAGAGUGGUCCCUUCUCAUUUUGUAGCAACUGUUUUUGAAUUCUCUCUCUUCUUUUUUCUUGUUUGGCCCUUAAGGCUUGCAAAUCUACAGGUUAGGAUUGGUCAUUCUGUUGAUCAUGAUUUCAUAUUACUGUGGCUCCUCUUUUUUGAGACCCCUUCUAACGUCCCUCUUCUUUACUGCAUGAAUGUAUAUUCAUAUUUUCUGUUGGGUUGAGUUCUAUUAAGCAAGACUGUCCCAUUGCAUUUAUUAGCAACAUUGGUCGGUCAAUGGUCACUGCUGCCUGUUGGAUAAACUUUUGAUAUUUGUUUUGUUUCAGGUACUGAUGGUACAGUCUCUUGCAUGGCUUCAUAUUUUGUGUGCAAUACCAUAUUCAGUAGCAUCAUCGCAAGAGCUGGAAAUGUUAAUGUAAGACGGCUUCUAUUUCUUGCCCCCUAUGAUUUGGUCUUCAAGUCACUUCUACAGUUGAAAAACUAUUGACAUGUCGUUGUUGACAGUAUGAAUGGUCUUGCUAUAUAUUACCUCAAUCAACUUCUUUGAGCAGAAACACAUGUGAAAAUAUUGGCUGUGAUACUUUAUAGGAAACGGUUCUUCCAACUUUAAUAAUUGUAAAGCUGUGAAACUGAUUCUCAAUUGUGUUCUGUCAAAUUAUUGAUUAGCAAAGUAGUAUGUUUUUCAAAUUAUACCCAAUGACUCCAAGAAAGUAGUCUUCAGAAAAAGUUAUUUUGAAUAGUGCGCUGUGGGUCUUGCCAUCCUCAGAAAUAAUGGUGCCUGUGGAACACCUAGUAAUCUUGAACUUUAACGGUGGUUAUUUCACUGUGCAGUACUAUGACAUCAGAAAGCAGUGUGAAGGGAGCCUCUGCUAUGACUUCUCAAACAUGGAAAAGUUCUUGAAGCAGAAUUCUGUUAAACAGGCACUUGGAGUUGGAGACAUAGAUUUUGUGUCAUGUAGCCCUACGGUAUAUCAAGCCAUGCUAGUGGACUGGAUGAGGAACCUUGAAGUGGGCAUUCCUACUCUUCUCGAGGACGGAAUUCAGCUGCUUGUGUAUGCUGGAGAGUAUGAUUUGAUCUGCAACUGGCUUGGUAUGUCAUUGCCUUCUAUUUGAGAUAUUGCAACAUGCAAUGUUAUAUAUUUAUAUCAUGUGAUUCUUACCAACUGAUAUAAAUAUGUAUGUUAUAGGUAACUCAAGAUGGGUCCAUGCCAUGGAAUGGUCUGGGCAAAACAAGUUUGUGAAUUCGCCAGAAAUUCCUUUUGUUGUUGAUGAUUCCGAGGCAGGAGUUCUUAAGAACUAUGGGCCUCUUAGUUUCCUGAAGGUGUCUCUCUUCCCCAACACCCACACGGACCCACACUUGCUCACACACAUUUUAUUAGCAUUUCGCUUUAAUAAACAACAGUUGACUACCAACGAUGACCUAACUGUACCGAAUGUGUUCUAAACAGGUUCAUGAUGCGGGCCACAUGGUUCCGAUGGAUCAGCCCAAGGCCGCAUUAGAGAUGUUGAAGAGGUGGACUCAGGGCUCCCUUUCUGAAGCUGCAGCUGAACCUGAGAAACUGGUUGCUCAGAUGUGAGUUGUUCCUCAGUAUUAUAUAGAAUAUAGUGAACCAGUUAUUAUUCCCUGGUUUCUCGAUGCUGUAAAUAUACUGGCUCCGAUGCUGAAGCUUUACUCAGAAUUUAUUAGUUUCUGGACAAUAUGUUAAUCUUUGCUUAGUAGUUGUUAACUUGUUAUACUUCAAUAAAGUAAGAUUGCUUGUGGAUACUUGUGAAUAGUAAUGUGCUUGAGUUUUCUUCUGUUUGUUUAUUGUAGAUGCAUAUAGUUUAGGCUGUUAUAGCUAAAUAGCUAAUAACUAAAUGUUUACCACAAUAAACACAAAUUCUCUCAUUCCGAUUAGCUCUCCUUUCCAUACAAUAACUCAAGGUCUUAAUCUUUUGAUUGAUGAGAAAGAGAGGAUAGGCGUUGAGGAAAUGAUAAGUGCAAAAGAGAGGGAUUGUAAUGAGGGGACUAGGAAUUUGGCUAGGACUGGAGGACUGGAGCUGUGAAGGUUAAAUUGAAAGAGAGGGAAUUUGAGGAGGGGUUGUUUGAGAAGCUUAGAUUGAAAAAGGUGUUGGCACCAAAUGUAGAUGAGCUUCAUAUUAUUGCUUAUCAGUGUCCAAGAGUGCCUCAAUGAAGCUCAGAGGAAAGAGAUGGAAGUGGAUUCCAAAGAGACGAGUUGAGUUGAACGUUAAGGAAGUUGAGUUGGCUGAGAUGAGUUGAGUUGAAGUAUAGCUCCCAGAGCCUACUGCACUCCAUGUACCUAUCUUCGUUGUAUUGAUAUGACCAAUUGACCAUGAUCAUUUUGGUGCAGAAUCCUUUUUUACAUAUGGUUUUUCCUAGUGUUCCACAUGUUUUUUACCUUGCAAGAGUAACCCUUCGAGUAACUUUGGCAUACUGAAGGAGCAAACCUGAGAUAAAACUUGCAGUGUUGUUUCACAUAAUUUUUAUCUAGUUCUUCCCUACCUAAUCUAAUCUUCCAAUGCUGUAAAAGGAGUUUAGCAAUAUCAGCUGAAGAAGAAAUCACUUUUAUGUGAAAAAGUUGUAUAGCUGACACUGAUUUACAUGAUACAGUAACACACGUUAAACUUUGUUUCCAGAACACUUUGCGCUAGUUUCUCUGUUUAGUGAUCCUCCCUGAGAUCAUGUCCGUCGGAUUCCCAUACUCUUGAUUCAGCGGUCAUGAUCUGAAUGCUGCGUAUCAGUGAUGGUCUAUCUAUUUUGUACCCGCUAAAAACCAAAGUACAAAAAUGUUGACCGUUAACCUCACACACUUGUUCAACACUUGUUAAGCAUGCGAGGCUGUCAACAAGAGCUUCAUGUUCAACUCUGCUCUUGUGUCUUGUCAUUCUUGUUCUGUCUUUACUGCUCUCUCUCAUUUAAGCCUAAACCCUACUUCCUCUCAAUUUUACAAAACCUAAAGUCUUUUCUUUUCUCCUACCCAGAAACCCAAAUAAGAUGAUCUGAAAGAUGAGAGCUUUCUUGAUCAAGAACAAGGAACUAGGAACUUUUCGUUGAUGGAAAGCCCAGAAUUCCAAAGGUAUUGUCUUUAUUAUCUCUUCCGCUACUAUCAGCUCUUUUGUAUCUUCUAUGGGGUUUUAGUUUCUGUGCAUUUGCUUUUCUGGAUUAAUUUUGUGGGUAAAUUAUUGUUCUUUAUUUUUGCUGAACAAGUGUGUAAGGGUGGUGUUAGCUCUUUGGUUUUCUUAUAUGAAGAAAUUGCAAUGUCUGUGAUGGACAUUGUUUGAAGGAAGAUUUUGGUGUUGUUGAAGGCUUGAAGAAGGGAUAGGGUUUUUGGUGGAUAAACACAAUGGAGGAGGUAGGCUUGGGUUUGGAGGAGUGGGAGUUGAGGCACAGCAAUGUCGAAAGGCCUUCAAGAUAUGACAUUCCCGCUGUAAGAAGAUUGAAAAUCACUUCAACUCAACCCGGAAUUCGUUUAAGGCCCGGGAGGAGGAAAUCGGGCUUCGAGAGAAGCAGUUGGAAGAGAAAGAGUCUUAUUUUGAGUCUCUGAGGGAAUUUAAGGAGGAGGAGUUGAAUGCAAUUGAGGAGGUAAUUACAGAGAAGCUAAUACAAGUUGAACUAGUUAAGACUGAGUUGCAGUGUGUUAGUUUAUUGGUUGAAGAGAAGAGGCAGAAGCUUGAUAGUACAGAGAAGCGGUUUUUGAAAGUUGAGGAGUUGGUUAGAGAAAAGGAGAGGGAGUGUGAUUUGAUCCAAAACCGUAUUGAAGAGGGGACAUCGAAUUUGAGGAGGAUUGAGAAAUUCAUUGGGGAUAAUUUGAGAGGUGAUGGUGAACUUAAGAGGAAAAUGAGGAAACGUUAUCAACAGGCCAAAGACCUUGAAUUGAACCAGGCACAGUUUGAUUUUCAAUCAAACACGGAGCAAUCAGAACAUGCCCCUGGGGCUAACAACAAGGCAAUUCCUUUAUGUGGUAAUAAUGGUAUGUGCAUGAUGUUUUGUAUUGGUGUCCACAUAUGUUAAGAAUGCAUUUGAAAUAUAGGUGUUGUGUUACCAUAUAGGACUGACAUUCUCUUGAGAGAAGAAGAAAAAUGAAAGAAUGAAUGCGUAUAGUUCUUGCAUUAUAGGAUAGCAUUGGCUGCAUUCCCUAUUUUCUCUAACUCAUAUAGGUUAAACAAAGAUUAAGAUACAGUAAAAUCUUGUACUUUUAUUGUAGUAGCAUAAUAACAGUAGACACUCACUUAAAGAAGUUUGCAAAGCAGUGAUCUUAUAUGUCCUUUUAGGCCUGCAUAUCACAACAUUUUCCUCCUUAUCAUUUAUAAACUUUGUUAUCCAAGGCUAUUACCAAUUUAUCAUCGUUUUCUAGUUCUUCUCAUUACAAUCUAAGUUCAGUACGUGGACAUAUCUUCUGCUAUGUAUGUUCAUCAUUUGAUACCAUAAUCUUUGAUACUUGCAAAUUUUGCGUACACUAAAUUGGUGUUUUAGGCAGGCUGUCUUGAACUUGCUCAUAAAUACUAUCUGAUGUUUGAAAUAUGCAAAUACAUCGCAUAUUUCUCUGUACUUUUAGUUGCUCAUAAUCAUGUCUGAUAUGUUAAAUUCAAAACCUUGCUCGCUAACCUGUAUCUGCCAUUUUCAUUAUUUCUUAUUGCAAUUGCACAGUGACCAACAUCAUUUCUUCCCUUGCCAAAACGGAAAAACUAGAAUCAUCUCUGGCUACAAAUUCAACUACUUUUCUUUCUUCCAAUGUUCAACCAUAUGCCACCAGCUAUCAAAGGAAUGUGCCAGGGUUUCUAGAGGAUAAUAUGGGUGAGAAUGAUUCCACAGACAAUGAAUUGGCUGCUUCUCUUCGGUUGGUACCAGACCCAGCUAAACUAGUGUUGAACUACAUGCAAAAGUUUUUUGCUCGGUCCUUGAGAAAUGGACGUUUUGAAGAAAGAAUCAUGUUACCGAGUAACAUUUCCGUAUUGAAGGAGCUAUUGAUUGUUUCGCCGCAUGUCGGAUUGCAUCUGAAAGAAGAUUCGACAACUUUAGUAGCCCAGUGGAAAGAAAAGAUGAGAGGAAAUACUGUAAAAACAGAUGAAAGUUUAGUAUUUUUGAUGUUUAUCGCUAUGUAUGGAUUGGUUUCUAUGUUAAAUGUAGAUGAGAUUGUAACGCUUCUUGGGUUGAUUUCUCAGAGUAAAAGGGCUCUAGAAUUGUGUCAUGCAUGGUUUUGCAGUUAAGAUCGCUGGUAAGUUGUCAUUCCUAUUGUGUGGCUUGUGUUCCACUUUGACCAUUAUAUUAUUAUUGUUUCUUCUCGUUAAUCAGUUUGAUGACCGCUAUAAGUUUGUAUUAUACUUGGCAGAUUUCAUUCUGAUUCUGAUACAAAAGAAGCAUAUAAUGGAGGCUGUCAGAUUUAUUUGCAUCUUCAAGUUAAUUGAUAAGCUUCCGCCAAUACCACUAUUGAAAGAAUCUGUGGAGGAUGAAAAGAAGUGUUUUCAAGUACUUUGCAGGAUAAGGAUUGCUCUUGAUGAAAAGGUAUUCAGCUUUUUGAACAUCCAAUUCUUGCUUCCUAAAUAGUUAAUUGUAGGAGCAUCCUCAAUGUAUACGUAGAUUAAGUCGUCUGUACUUUUGAUCUGAGGUUAAGGCUGUAGACAACCUAAUAGGUUGUCUAAGAGCUGUGCGCCAAUGCAUCAAGGAUUACAAUCUCAAGUCUGAAUUAUCUGCACACAUUGAAAAGCAAGUAGUUCAGCUGGAAAAACUAAAGAAGACUUGGAGACUUUUGGCACCAUUCGUUGGUUCUAAUGAUGAACAAAAAGAGCAGAGAAAAAAAGAAAGAAUCUGAUAACAAGACUUGUUCUCCAGAGUUUCAACCAGGACAGCAUUCUAAACUACAAAAGUUAAUUUCUUCUGGUUUUUAGAAUGAAGAACCAUCCUAAUUCUCAAGAUCCUUUCCCGGUGAGAAGUUAUGAUUAUAGUUUAACAGACACCCCUUAUGGUACUGAUUGUGAGAUAGUUGACUGAACUGUUGGUAGAAACUAGAAAGUGGAGACCGUGCCCUCGACAUAGUUGGAUAUGUAUAUAGUAGACUAGUAGUUCUUGAAAUGGUAUCCACUGUUAAUUGGGAAGGUUUUAGCUUAUUUAAUAUCCCAGGUUAAUCUGAGCUGAUCAAGCUUAUUUCUAUCUUAAUGGAUUGUUUUGGCUUUACUUUUUUACUUUUUUGGCAACCAUAUUAAAGAAUCAACCCCUUGAGACACUUAACUCUAAGCUAAAGAAAACGGCUUCAAAGAUCCAUUAUUGGUCCAAGGUGAUCCUAAACAUGUCCAAAUGGAUGAAACUUUACAAUGUUUCGAAAACAUGAGAUACCAAAGUUAUUGAGCUUUCUUAAAAAGAGAAAAAAGAAAAAAAGAAAAAAAAAAGUUACUGAGGAACGAAACGUGGGAUACCGUCCGGAUGAUUUUGUCCAGAAGUUUGGAUAUGCCCAAGUAAAAGAACGAUAAAUUUUACUUUUCACAACCCCGUAAAACACAGUAACAAAUAAGCUCGUGUAAAUAUAACGUAAAACGGUGAAGAGUGGAAGAUAGAGAACAGAAACUGAGAAAAGUGUGUUAUUCAAAUGGCAUCUGCUCUUGCCUUCUCUCUCAAUUCUCAUCUGCUUUUGGUUCCUUCAAUUUCCUUAACUCCUUUGCUACCUCCACACAUUUCUACAGUUUCUUCAUCAUCAGCAACCAAAACCCAUCAUUGGAAGCUCAACUACUCCCCUAGAGCAUCUGCUGAAGGUAACUUUCUCCUUUUCUGAACUUCAAUUUCAGAUUGAUAUGAACGUAAUUGGUAUUGGGUAUAGGUUAAAUUCUGUGUCUUGGGAUUAAUUUGGUACUUUUUGGUCAUUGGUGGGUGCUGGUUUCCUGUAGUUACCUAUUUGUAUUUGCUUUAUGUAAUGGUGCAUGCUGUAUUUGCUUGAUACUUCUUGCUUAGUUUUGCUCAUAUAUAAGUUUAUCUGCGACUUGUUACAGGAGUGCCCGGUGAAUUGAGUGAAGAAGAGUCCAAGUUCGUUCCUCUUAAUGCUGAAAGUAUGAUAUUUGGUCCACCUGUAAGUUGUGGUCAGUUCCGCUCUAGUUAUCACAAAUGUUACCAAUUUUCUACUUUAACAUGUUCUCCAUAGAAAUCCUAUAUAAGGAAACAAAUGAAUGACUUUUGAGUAAGGAAAGAUUUUGAAACCGAUAAAUUGCCUACUUUAGUAGAUGUCAAUCCAGAUUUACCAAUAAAAUGAUACUUGUUUUGGAGCUUCAUAAGGUUGAAGAUUCAGACUUUUUGUUUUCCAGGCUUUGUUAUUGCUGGGAUUUGAACUGGAAGAAGCCGCGACGGUAAAUUUUUGUUCUCUCUAUACUUUACUAUUCGUGAAUUUGGUUGACUAGUUUUAUUGGUUCUUGCUCAUGGCGCUUACAAUAUUCUCUUGUGUGUGUUUUGAUGCAGGUACAAGAUUUUCUGAAACAGAUAGGAGGUGAUUUCCUCAAGGUAAGUUUACAUAUUUAUCAUUACUUCAGUUCCUACAUACAAAUGAACAAAAGAACAGAAUAGAGGCACACAUUCGUUGUCAGGGACAUAACACCUAAGAUCAUCAGUCAGUCUUAACCUCGAUACAGAAUUUACUGAUGGCAUAGAUAUUGUGUAAACAUUAUUUUGGCUUAUUGUCAUGUAUUAUCAGUAACUGAAUUUUAUGGAAAGUGGACGUUUAUCUCUCUCAUCUCAUUUGAGCAGAAUACUAAUCAGCAUUUUGGUUCUUGUUGUGUAGAUUAUUUAUUGUACUGAAGACAUGAUCACUGGUUCACUAUGGGAUGCAAUGAAUACAAUCCAACCCAAUUUGGAGGAAGUGAAGGUCAAAUUUUCUUCUUACUUAUGACUAAUUCUUGCUCGAACCAAUUUGAUUUGGGAUGCUCAUGAUUCACGUUUCUGUUCCUUGCUGUGCUCAUCACACAUGUUCUAGUUGUUUGUUCAGUGAUCAUAACUUGAUUUGGAUUCAACUCAUAUGAACCAAGCAAUUCCAACUGUGAUAGUAAAUUGAAUUUUACAACUUCUUAGAGAGUUUCUGAAGCAUCAUUAUACACAACCUUUUAACAUUGUUAGUUUUGUGCGAAAUUGAGGAACAUAAGAGUGGGGGAAGAGAGGAGGCCCUUUUAUGUAUCUCCAUAUUCCUUAAUUUGUCAAGUCCUAAACUUACAAGUAUAGUCUGGAAUAAUUGUGGUACAUCCUGCUCUGCAGAUUGCUAAGCCACUGCCGCGAAUAUGUUUCUUAUCUGGUCUUAGUGGGGAAGAGAUGAUGAUGUUGAUUGAUGAUUUUCCAGAGACAGGUGCCCUAUAGUUCUUUAUCCAUCCCAUAUAAAGUUUUUUUGGAUACAGCAUUCCUUUGCCGACGCCAAUUAUCCAUCCCAUACAAAGUUAUCAUUUUGUCUUCUUUACAAUGAUUAGAUUGCUAACUUUGACCCCAAAAAAGAAAAGGACUGGUAAUCUUAACAAAGCUUAUAGAUCCAUGAGUUCUAGUAAGGCAUUAAGAACUGUAAUCCUAGCAAAGCUUAUAGAUUCAUGAGUUCUAGUUAUGCAUUAACUUGAAUAAGUUCGUUGAGUUUAUUCAUUUCAAGAAUCUCAAAUGUAUGUGAUUCUUUAGCCUGAUGAUCUGAUUUUCAAGCAACUCAGAUCUACUGUAAUACCUAACAGUGAAUAACUGUGUUAUAGAUUUCCCAACAGCCUGAUUAUUUGGAUGUCACUACAUGUUUAAUUUCCUUCCCCUUUCUGCUCAUCAAUAUGAAAAUCCCAUUUAGAGUAUAACUCAUCAUCCCUAAAUUACCAUGUAGACAUGUCCUUAUGUGUAACUGGAAAUUUUCCUUUGGGUUUGUACAGGACUCGAACCAGCUGUUUUUGCAGCUCUUGUUCCCAACAGUGCCGAGAAACCAAUAGAAGAGUUGAUAGACGAGAUUAUGGCUGAUCAUGAAAUGAUAGUGAGUAAUAUAUUCUUGCUCCAUUCAUAUAAAUAUGCAGAAACCCAUCUAUCCCAUCUGAUCUCUACUACUUUCUUAUUUCCCUACAGACCAAGAAAAUGGAAGAGGAAAUGAGCAAAAAUCCGAUAAAUGAAGGUUGAAUUUUGUUUCUGUGGUUGAGACCGCAAGUUAUGUGCAUUCUAGAUAAAAUCUAGUUUCUGAAAAGAGGAAUGUAAUGCUAGAGAGGAAGUUAAGUUGCACCACCUAAGAACUGAUAUGUACAAGAUCUCAUUGAUCAGGUUAAACUUGGUUGUCAUGAACAAAGUUGGUGUACGGGAAAGAGUGUGGCUAUUGGGACCUCUAAAUUUGCUCAAUAUACCUCUCAUUCUCUCUACACCUCCUUUUUACUUUUUAAUAUAAAUAUUUUCUCACUAUAUCUCAUUUCAAAUUCCUAACAUAACCUUUGUUAUUCAUUAACAUAUAUUUCAAUUAAUUACUUACUUUACCUCUUAUUCACUCAAUAGACCUCUCAUUCUUUGUUUUUUUAUUUUNNNNNNNNNNNNNNNNNNNNCUCUCUCUCUCUCUCUCUCUCUCUCUCUCUCUCUCUCUCUCUCUCUCUCUCUCUCUCUCUCUCUCUUCGAUCUAAAAAAUUUCUCUCUCCUCUCUGUCUCUCUGAUCUCAGCCCCGUAAUUGAUAUCCUCGACACCAACCGCGACGACAAGAUCAGCAAAAUUGAUUGCUUUGUUUUGUUCAGGGUGGUGGAUGUUGGAGUGUUGUUGUGGUUAAUGCUUAGAUUGUGGAAUUGAAUUAGAUUGGAUUGUUGUGGUUAAUGCUUAGACUAUGGAAUUGAAUUGCAAGAUUAAUGUUUUGAUUCCUGACAGUUUAUUAGGGUGGAUAACAAGUUUGCUAGGGUCAGUAAUAAUAUAUUAUUAGUCAAUAACAAGUUUACUGUAAUAUAUUAUUAGAAUGGAUAACAAGUUUAUUGAGGUCAGUAAUUUUUUAUUAAAGAUUAAUAAUUUAUGAUUGGAGGUCAAUAAUAUGUUUACUAAGGGUCAAUAAUUCCGAAACCCCUUUUCAAAAAAAAAAGGGUCAGUAAUUCCGACGACCGGUGACCGAGGUCCGGGGAACGGUGACCGAAGUCGAGGGUCCGGGCAAGUCUUUUCUAUAUUCCACUUUCUCUCUCAAUACAUGGUUAAGGGUUGAGGGUAAAAAGUUCUAAAAAAAAAGGUUUGAGGGCAAAAUAGUCUUAAAAAAAAUAUAAUUUUUAAGACUUUUAAUGAAGAUUUGUUCGUUUGAGCACGAGUACAAAAAAAGUUAUUAUUCAAAAAGUCUCUUGAAAAAGAUUUUCAUUGAAAUAGGUAAUAAAAUGUUGAAAUUAGUACUAAAUUGUCAUUUUUUUUGUUAUUGGGUCUAUGUACUAUAUAGUUUCAGGGGGAAAAUGCGAAUGGUAUCUCACAUUUCAUCUAUUAAUCACUUUCAUAUCCCAACUUUUCUAAAUAUCAUAAUGGUAUCUCAAAUUCCUACCUCUACCCAACAUAAAUACCUGAAACUUAUUUCCUCGUUAAGUUCACUAACGUCUGGUAAUCUUUAAGGGGUAUUAUGGUCCCUUUCUAUUUCAACACCCCCUCCCAUUCAACGCCAAAUCCCUUUCAAAAAUAAAAGAGUGGCGCCAAAUAUGAAGAAUAUAUAUAUAUAUACGGAAACGAUGUGGAGCGCACGUCCGCAGUGCGCACGAAGCUUCGUUUGCCACCCUCCGGCGCCAAUGUCGGUGCACCUCCACCCCAGCAGACUCCAGCAGCAUCCCCGAUCACUUUCCCUCCCCGGCGAUCCCCAGCGAGGCCGCCGAAUUCCCGUUUCCGGCAAGAUCAACUUUAUUUGAAGUUUUGGGUGAUCUCGCCUGAAAACUGGAAUUCGGCGGACUCGCCGGGGAGGGAAAGUGAUCGGGNNNNNNNNNNNNNNNNNNNNNNNNNNNNNNNNNNNNNNNNNNNNNNNNNNNNNNNNNNNNNNNNNNNNNNNNNNNNNNNNNNNNNNNNNNNNNNNNNNNNNNNNNNNNNNNNNNNNNNNNNNNNNNNNNNNNNNNNNNNNNNNNNNNNNNNNNNNNNNNNNNNNNNNNNNNNNNNNNNNNNNNNNNNNNNNNNNNNNNNNNNNNNNNNNNNNNNNNNNNNNNNNNNNNNNNNNNNNNNNNNNNNNNNNNNNNNNNNNNNNNNNNNNNNNNNNNNNNNNNNNNNNNNNNNNNNNNNNNNNNNNNNNNNNNNNNNNNNNNNNNNNNNNNNNNNNNNNNNNNNNNNNNNNNNNNNNNNNNNNNNNNNNNNNNNNNNNNNNNNNNNNNNNNNNNNNNNNNNNNNNNNNNNNNNNNNNNNNNNNNNNNNNNNNNNNNNNNNNNNNNNNNNNNNNNNNNNNNNNNNNNNNNNNNNNNNNNNNNNNNNNNNNNNNNNNNNNNNNNNNNNNNNNNNNNNNNNNNNNNNNNNNNNNNNNNNNNNNNNNNNNNNNNNNNNNNNNNNNNNNNNNNNNNNNNNNNNNNNNNNNNNNNNNNNNNNNNNNNNNNNNNNNNNNNNNNNNNNNNNNNNNNNNNNNNNNNNNNNNNNNNNNNNNNNNNNNNNNNNNNNNNNNNNNNNNNNNNNNNNNNNNNNNNNNNNNNNNACCACUUUCCCUCCCCGGCGAGUCCGCCGAAUUCUAGUUUUCCGGCCAAAUCACCCAAAACUUACAAACAAAGUCAAUCUGGCCGAAAAACUGAAAUUCGGCGGACUCGCUAGGGAUGGAAAGUGGUUGGGGAAGCUGCUGAAGUUCGCUGGGGUGGAGGCGCGCCCUCGCCGGUGCCGUACAGUUGCGUCAGGAGGGACGUCCGCACUUUAAGAGCCGUGCGGACGUCCACACCUGGUAAUCCUUGUAUAUAUAUAUAACUUUAGUACAUGAACAUUAAUAUGACGAAAUUUUUUUUUUUCAAAUUCUUCAAUUGUGACAACAUUUGAUACAUGAGCACUAGUAAUCAAAAUCUAUUGCACAAGCACAAAAACAUUACAUCUAAAGCCAUGUCUAGAUAGUACAUCCAAAAUCAUGACUAAAGGGACAUAAACAAAAGCCAGCAAAACGCAUAAUCAUGGAUGAAAAUUGAGUCAUGCGCUACAAAACAAUACAUAUCCUACAAACUGCAAUUAACUAAGGGGGUUUGAGGUGCAUUAUGAGGCAUGGGCUUUCUGAUAUGACUUUCUAUUUUCUUUGUUGGAAUUGUGGCAUAGAUGAGGUAUGUGGAGCUGUAGUACUCUUGGAUUGCUGUGUAGCCAUAUAAAACACUUGCUGCCCUUGGUCACUUUGAGAUUGAGCCCGCAUAGGUUUAGCAGCUGGGCAGGGUGGCACAAGGUGAGGCCGGGGAGGCAAGGGAGGCUGAGAUUGAGGUUGGGGCUGCACAUUCUCACUAGCUUGACGUUGUUCAUCCUACAAACUCAAAAUUGUAUACCAAUUAGGGGAGCAAAUGUCACAACACUUCCAGAAUGAAAUUUCACUUUCCAUAACAAUGCAUCUCAUUAGUAAACAUGCAUGUUUCUUUUUUAUGCAUGAUCUCUUGUUGUGUCCUUUUAUUCUGCAAUACCCACAUUUUAUUUGAGAGUAAUACACCUUAGGUAACUUGGUUGUUCCAGUAGGUGGAGGUACCUCAUCUUCAUCCAAAUAGAGAAAAUACAAUAAGAUACAUGUUAUUGCAUAAGUAAUUGAAGUGAACCUUAAAAUUUUAAGUUUCUCACCUUGCUCUUUGUUCCUAGCCAUUAUGGGGAGUUUCCCAAGUUGUCUCUUGUAAAGUGGGGGUGCUAUUGGUCUAUAUAUCUUCUCCCAUUCCUUCACUCCAGCAGUUGGAUGCAUAAUUGGCCCAUAUGCCUUCAUGUAUGUCUCCUUGCUAUAAUAUUCAUGUACAAAGUCAUCUGGAGACAUUCCUUUUGAGAAGAUACAUGCUGUAGCAUGACCACAUGGUAGCCCAGAUACAUUCCACCUAUUACAUGUGCAUGACUUGUUAUCUAACUGAACCACAUGUGCUGCAAUCACCCCAUUUUGACAUUGUGCCCCUCUUCUUUGAACCUCAUAUCUCCAAAGGCUUGAAGAUAUUGGUGUGUAAUCAGCUGCAAACUUGGCUGAUUUCUUCAACAACUUUUCAACUCUUGGCCCUACUUUACACUUCUAAUUAAGGUGAGAAUUUCUACGAUUUGCCAAUCUCACCAUAGUUGCUAUUCUGAUAUCUUCUAAGCACCCAAGUAUAGGCUUCUUCCUUGCUAGGAGUAUGCUUUUGUUGAAGCUCUCACUAUGAUUAUUGAGAAGAGAGUCACACUUGAACUUGUGAUCAAAAUGUGAUAAUGACCAGUGAAUUACAAGCCUGUCCAUGCACCACUUCCAUCCAUCAAGAGAGCUUGUCUUCAAAUCCUCCAUUGCAUCUCUAAAUGCAUUCAUAGUUGUGCUUCUUGCCACUGCCCACAAUUUUUCUUUAAGUUCCAACCCUACAAUCAAUUGAAACAUAACACAAUAAAGGUAAUUAUAACUUUGCACUUACACUAAAAAAAAAACCACAAAUGUUGGUAAUCGAUCAUAUAAUGAAAAAUAAAAAACAUGUGUGUCCAUCAGUCUUGAAGUUGUUGUGGAGGUGCCUCACACAAUGCCUAUGCGUAGCAUCCAGAAACAAUUCUUUGAUCGCCUGCUCCAAUCCCUUUUGUUUAUCACUCAUGAACGUAUAAUGUCCUAAGUGAUGGAUGUUAAGAUCAGCCUUCAAGAACUCUAAGAACCAUGUCCAACUCUCUCUGCUUUCAGAUUCCACAAUGGCCCAAGCUACUAGGUAAAUCCCAUUGUUACUGUCAAUACCAACAGCAGAGAGCAGCUGACCUUUGUGCACAGUCUUCAGAUGACAACCAUCUAAGCCAAUCAUCAUCUAAAUCACAUAAAUAGAUAUGAUACAAAACUACAACUUGUACAUAAUACACAUCUAUAUUGUAAAGGCUGGAGAACCUUUUUUCUAUAUAAGAAAGUCCCACUUUUAGUUAAUUAUGGAUUAGUUGUUGUCAUCUGUUGGAAGUUGUACAUAAAUAGUGAGCUAAACAUGUUGGGUUGUACUCUUGUAGUCGAUGUAUAUAUAUAUAUAUACCCUAUAUAUAUGUAUAUACCUAUAUAUAUAACUGCCCAAGCCUCCACAUUUAAGACUACAAACUCACAAAAUCAACCAAAACCCAUAAAUCUGAUGCAUUUAUCAUCUCACCCAUUUCAAUCCAUAACCUAAUUGCAGACAUAUAUAUAAACAAUUGCAGAUGGAGACAAAUUAACCCAAAAUUAAAUACCAAAACCCUAGAAAAAACCCAUAGAGAAGCUUAAACAAUGUACUCAUGUGCAGGAGACUACAAUCAGAAGAAAACACUUUUAGAAAUGGACCAUUUCAGUUGGUUUUACCUGCAUAAGUAGGUGCCUCCCCAUUGACACGAAAAUAUCUCCAAGUCAUCCUCAUGUAAUCAAACUUGGAUAUUCAUCAAUGAUUCGAGAUGCAAUCUUUUUUCAAAGACAACCAAUUUUUUGAAGGUGUUGUUUCAAUCAUCAGAAAUUGAUUCUCUGACUAAGUGAAACAAAGAGAGAGUAUAGAUGGUGAGAGACUUGAUGAUAUUUGGGGGCUGAAUAGAAAUUGAAUCUAAUGUGGGGGUAAAUGAAUAGGGUUAGAGAUAAAUGGGUAAAAAACGACACUGCCCUUCAGCAUUUGAAUCUCGUUAACGUCGUAACAGGGAAAUAAGUUUCAUAUACGAAAGUUGGGUAAGGGUAGGAAUUUGAGAUACCAUUCUGAUAUUUAGAAAAGUUGGGAUAUGAAAGUGACUAAUGAAUGAAAUGUGAGAUAUCACUCGCAUUUUUUUCCCAGGUAGGAUAAGAAACCAACAUUAAGUUUUGAUCAUGCAUGCUCAUGGCUGGGUUAGAAAACUUGCACACUUAAGUCAAACAAAAUGUGAGAUUUUUACUGUAAUACGUGAGUACUUUUAGUGCAAUUAGUAUUUGGAAAGCAUCAGUAAACUCUGAUAUCUGAAACUUAUUUACAUACUUAUGAAUUUAAUUAUUUGUAUUUUAUAAGUAUUUUCGACAAUAUCUUUUGUUCUGUUUUUUUCCUUAAGUUUCUUGAGGUCGGUUAGAUGCCUUUAUGAUAUUUUUUUUUUGACCUGUCCAAUUAUUGGAUUAAUACCUAUAGAAGAAUAUAAUGAAGUGUUGAUCAUUCUUUUUCAAUUAACUAGCUAUAUUUUUGAUUUUGAAUGCAAAACAUUGAUCAUAAUGCACAAAACUCCGUUGCUUUACACAAUUUGAGUACACUAUUACAUACAGAGAAAUAUAUGAUAGUGCACAAAAUUUAUACACAACAACACUUUUGCAGGUGAUGAGGUGAGCAAUCCUCAUGUACAACAUCAAAACAGAAGCAGAGAAGAGAUGAUGUCGUGUGCAUAUCUGCUCUAAGUGGCAAGGACAGAAUUGAAGGUACAUAUGAUUGAUUAUGAAUCAAUGCUUCAACUUUAUGAUUAGAAUGUGUUUUUUUAACAUGACUAAAUUUGAAUCUGAUUCUAAUUUGGUUAAUCUUAGAUGUGUAUAGGUUAUGAGGUUUAAUUUAGAUAGUAAUGUUGCCGCAAAAUGAAAAUGGACAAAUCUACAGAAAACAUUGCCAACAAUAUUGAUAUUAUGAUACUGCCACUAUUUAGGGGCCUCAACAAUUGUAACAUUUUGUAGUUUCCCUAUGCAUGGUUAAUCAAACAUGUCUAACUUCAACUACACUAUUUGAGGAUGCUUCAUCAUCAUGUGGUAUAUAUAAUUUGAACUUCAUUUUUGUGUAUCAUAUUGUGCUGAUGACAUCUUCUUAGGCGUUUCAAAAAAGAAGUUUUAUAAUAUGGAGAAGAAGCUUCUAACCUAAAAGGGAGGACAUCAGUUGAUAGAAGAAAAUUCAAAAUUGCCUCAGGUGGACAUCAGUUGAUAGAAGAAAAUUCAAUUCAGAACUGCAUUUUAACUUUGUUAAAUCAACAAUUUGGUAUAAUGACAACUGUAAAGUUGAAUGAACUUGGGUUCUGUUUGUGUUAGCCUUUUGUUGCUUAUGUAGCAGUUUUCUUUCUAUAGUAAAAUUAUUCUGAAGAUGAUCACCUGAAUAUAUGAAUGACUUUGUAAUUUACUUGAAAGUUCACUUACAUGAGAUUUUAUUGAAGAAAUGGCAAUUUUAUUUAAGAUCACGUUAGCAAUGUGUUUAUUUUUAUUUUUUUAAACAAAACCAAUUUACACAACCAUGAAACCCACAGCAAAGCGAGGGCUCAGUAGCUAGUACUGUAUAUAUAAGGAGGGACCUGUAGAUCACUGAACUACAGUCUUACAAGUUCGUGAGAUUUUCUGUUCUAUAUAUGUGCCAGUGAAAAUGCUAUAUAAAUGACCUUAUAUAAAUGAGCCUUGCAAUUUCUAACAUUAGAGAAGCCUAGCGGAUAGCUCAUCUUUCCGUUUACCCCCUUUCAUAAGAAGUAUCAAGAUUUAUCAACAGAAAAUGAUAUAAAGCUGGGAAUAGAAACAGCAAAGCAAAAGCCAAUUAGACCUGUCAAAGAAAAUAGAAACUACAGAAAAGAAAGCUAGGAAUACGAAUCCAUAGAAGAAACAGAUACAGAUUAAUCGUGAGAAAGAAGAAGAAGCUAGGUGGAUACCUGACUAAGAAAGAAAGGGGAAAAAAAAAAAAAAGAGAAGCUAACUAAAGACAAGCAUGCAGUUGGGUCUUGAACUGGUCAAAAAAAUAAUAAAGACCAGAGUUCUUAAGCUCAAAGAUUGUAGAUAAAAAGCGAAAGGAACAGCACAUAUGUGGUAAAAUACUUGAUUAUUCUGGAUUCUGAUCUUUAAUUUCCUUUUGUUUCUUCUAUUUUUUCUUUUUCGGCAAUGCCUAUCGACCUUUAAUUUCUUGGUCUGUUGUAUUGUGUUUGCUACUAUACUUGCUUAUUUAGAUUCCGGCCUCCAUACCUUAGCUCUAACAAGUAGUAAGUCCAGACUCCAUAACCAGAGUUCUAUAUUUCAGUUGCCGCUUAGAUCGACUAUUUAAACAUUUCGGAAAAUUCGAUCCCUGAACUAAUUAAAACUAAUCAAGGUACGUAUGCAUGCUUGUCACAAAUUACUCUUAUCUUCUUAGUUUUGGAAUUUUUUUGUUUUAACUAAAAUAUUUUCAUUGUUGAACACGUAGAUUCCUGAAAAUAAUGUAGCUUAAUUAUUAAUUUCCAAGUCAUGCAGCCUGAUUAUGGAAUGUAUGUACCUUAAACAUUUAAACUUGUUCAAAUUAAGUUUAAUUACCCUUAAUGAACUAGCUAGCCUAGUAUAGUAUUAACAGUGGGAUGCAUGAACAGUACCUAGGCUUACCAAGUAAGCCAAGAAGAGCACAGUCGGUGACAAAACAGAAGGUAUAUAUACUGCAUCUCUCACUUACCCUUUAGCUUAGCUUUGUUUGAGAGAGAGAGAUGGGGGUUCCAUCGUUUUUUCGUUGGUUGGUAAACAAGUACCCUAAAGUGGUCGUAAAAGCCAUUGAAGAGAUAGAUGAGUUUGUAGAUCCAACCUCACCGAACCCUAACGGCAUAGAGUUCGAUAACCUGUAUCUUGACAUGAAUGGAAUUAUCCAUCCCUGCUUUCACCCGGAAGAAGAAGAUGAUGAUGGUCAUGGUCAUGGAGUAAGAUCACAGUUCUAUUUCAUUUGCUUUUGAUCUAUGAGUUGCUUUAUAUAUGAAGUUUCUUUCCUUUGCAUGUUUAAGAUCGAGUUUAUUUUAUAAGCUGUAUAUAUAUAUAUGCAUGUUCAGCUUCCACUACCAAGAACUUAUGAAGAUGUCUUCAACAAUAUCUUCGAAUAUAUUGAUCGGCUUUUUAGAAUUGUCAGACCAAGGAAGCUCCUCUACAUGGCUAUUGGUGAGAAAAUUGAAAUAAUUUAUUUGUUUUUAACGUUGAUUUUUAGAGUUCUGAGGUGUUUUUGCUUUCAAUUAAUAUGUAUCUGAUGAUGUAAUUAAGUUAGUAUUUUGCCUUUUAGAUGGAGUUGCACCGAGAGCCAAAAUGAAUCAACAACGCUCCAGGCGUUUUAAGUCGGCAAUGGACAAGAAUCUUGCUGUGGGUGCAUCUGAAAUUCACAUGAGUUUUCCAUGUGUUGUAUUUCGAAUCAGUUUUAUGAAUACUAAAUGAUGUUCCCAUAUGUUGUUUAAAUUUUAAACGUGUAGGAGGCUGAAGAGGAGAAACUGAGACUGCAUUUUGAAAAGGAAGGGAAAAAAAUUCUACUGGAACAGGAAUCAGAAAUCUCAGAUUCUAAUAUAAUCACCCCUGGAACGGAUUUCAUGUACAAGUUAUCCAAGGCUCUCCAAAGCUACACCAAUCUUCGUUUAAGCCAAGAUCCAGGCUGGAAGGACAUUAAGGUCUGGUCGUAUGACUUAUAUUUUCAAACUUAUGUAUAUAUGGAACUGAUCAAAUUAUGCAGAUUGAUUUCUUCCUAUUUUUUAAUCAAUGGUGAAUAAAAUUAUAAAUUAUGUAUAUGCACCAAUUAAUAUAUAUUGGUAUUCACUGGUACUCAAAUUUAUGUCUCAGUCAAAUUUGUUUCCUAUAUUUUUUUAUUUUUCUCAAGUUCCAUGCUUAUUCAUUUAGGUAAUACUUUCUGAUGCCAAUGUUCCUGGAGAAGGAGAACACAAAGUGAUGUCAUUCAUACGCCACCAGCGAACUGUUCCUUCUUAUGAUCCAAACACCCGCCAUUGCUUGUAUGGUCUGGUAUGGAAACAUGACUAUAUGGAACACAAAUAUCAAGAAUUUAUGUCCUAUCCUUUUGCCUGUCAAUUUUUCUCUUUAUUUUGAUUCUUGAUUUUACAUUCUCAUAUACAUUGUCAUUGGCAUUAUGACAGGAUGCGGAUCUAAUAAUGUUGUCUUUGGCAACACAUGAAGUUCACUUUUCCAUACUGAGAGAGGUGGAAUUUACAAACCCUUCAGCUUCUUUUUAAUAUAUAUACUUCAUCCUUUUUUUUUCUUGGUUUAAUCUUUUACCAUGUCACAACUUGGAAUUUGGUCUUUAUGAAUAUCUGCGGGUCUUCUAGUUUUCAAUGGUUUUGAUGAUUACUUCUGCCCAUGUUACAAAUUACAAAGUUCAGUUUCUGUUAAGCAUCAAAUAUUAGUUCAAGUUAGAGGUUUUGAACUCUACUCGAGAGGACUCACAUUACUAUAUAUGCAAACUGACACAAUAUAUUCAACCUUGAUACGCUUCAUUUUUCGGAAAUAGGAUUUACUUUUACAAAACCAGCAGCCAUAUGCAAACGGUCAAUUGACAGCAUCAUCAGACAAAAGAAAAGCAUACAUGAUGAAAAAGCCCUAUCAGGUAUCUUAAUUUUAUUAACCUCCAUUUCGGUAGGAUAGCUAGCUGUUUUGUCUUUGUCUGAACUUUUCCUUUAUCCAAUUUUCAGUUUCUGCAUAUAUGGAUCUUGAGAGAAUAUUUGGAGCUGGACAUGCAAAUCAAUGAUCCUCCUGAAAACUUCAAGUUUGAUCUUGAGCGUAUCAUCGAUGACUUCAUAUUCAUAUGUUUCUUCGCGGGAAAUGAUUUUCUACCUCACAUGCCAACAUUGGAAAUUCAUGAGGUUCGAUACUAAUUUCAUUAUCCAAUAGUUUAUUUAAUUUAAAUCUAAGGCGUACUCAUAUCAAAACUAACUUUUGUGAAAUACUUGUUCUCAGGGUGCAAUUGAUUUGCUGAUGCAAGUCUACAAGAAAGAGUUCAAGAAGAUUGGUGGUUAUUUGGUUGAUAUGAUUCGGGUAUAUUAAUAUAACUUAACAAUAUAUUGUUAUUUUCUUCACACAAAAAAAUUCAAUAUAGCUGGACAGGUUCAUGAUCAUUUGCAUAAAGCAGGUUCAUGACAAGAAGUUGGGGUACAUCAAACUAUCAAGAGUGGAGAAAUUUAUUCUCCUUAUUGGAGCAUAUGAAGAGAAAAUAUUUAAGAAAAGAUCAGAUAUACGAGACCGUAAACUCAGAGGUUUUUGCAAUAAUGAUGAUACAGUAAGUGCCUUGUUUCAAAAUUUUAUGUUCUUAUACUGUAUCACUGUUGACAGAUUUGUGUUUGUCUAAAAUCGAUAUGCUGAAAUAUAGACUGAGUUAAUUGCAUGCUUCUCUAGAUAGAGGAAGAGAUUGAUGCUGGAAGUUCAACUUCUAAUGUGAAAGCAAUUGAAGGAUCUGCAGUUGUUUCAGCGGAUAAUCUUUCAUCUUCUGAAGUAUGUUUUGCUCUGUUCUGUAUUGAAUGAUGAUCUUUUGGCUAUCUUUGACACAAACAUACGCGUGCGCACAGUUCUCACAGUCUCCCAUUUAUCCUCAUUAAUAUGCAUAGAAGGAUAUAUUAUCUUAAAUCUUUUGUUACUAUUUUGCUCAUUUUCAUCUACUGCAUUUUUUGUGUUCACAUUUACUUUUGAUGCUUCUGCUUUAUUAUACUAUAGUGGGAUGAUGUGGGGGGUUCUUUAUUUUUGGACGUACCGAAAUAUUUUGGCCUCCUUGUUAUGUAUAUCAUUAUGUUGCAGAUAGCGGAAAACACAAAGGAAUAUAAGCAAAAAUUGAAGGCGAGCAUUAGAAGAAAAUCUGAUCUUUUUAGGAAUGGUGAUCAUUUUGGGACUGACAAAGUAUGGAACACUCCUUUCUGAAAAUUGCAUUACCUCUAUAUCAUACAUCCUUCUGAUAUUUCCUUUUGACUUGUAUAUGUUUCAUCAUUCAUCCACACAGGUACGGUUGGGUGCUACCGGUUUCAAGGAAAGAUAUUACAAGUACAAAUUUUCUGCUGAAACCCCGGGGGAGAUUGAAUGCAAAAGGAAGGAAGUAGUACGUCUGGUUAUAUGCUAUAGCUUUAUUUUGCAUUUACUGUGUUUUCAAAUUUUUACAUAUUUUCUCAGUCAUCCACUUCUAUUUUAUUUUCCUUCAAACAAUUAAGCUGCACCUGUAAUUGUAUUAGCCGCUGAUUUUGUUGGUUGUGUAUAAGUUCUGUACAAAAUUGAGAUUUGAGUUUACCUGUGUUUCAAGAGUAACUUAAUUAGAAUUUUGAAAACUAACCAACUUUUGGUCAUCAAGAUGGUUUUUAACCUUCUUUUUUAUUUUAGUUGAAAACUAAAUGACUAUUAUGUCAUCUUAUUUAGUUGCAAGGGAAAAUUUCAUAUUCCAUGAACAGAUUUAAUAUAUUCCAUAUGCAAAAUAGUUUAGGUUUUUUUUUCCAAUCCAUGGGCAUAUUCGUUUAAUCCAUGUACAAAAGCUCUGGAUUUUUUCAUUUUUUUUGUUUCGUCGUCUAUCUCAUCCCAAGGAUUCACUGAUGGAAUUGAGUUUUCUACAAGUCUGAACUUUUUUGUCUCCAAUUAAUUAUGGCAAUGAUCAUAAUCAAGGUAUAUAUAUAAAGCAUCUUGGUCUCUUCUAUUCCUCUCUUCUGUAUUUUUCCGAAUUGGGUUGCUGGAGUUCUUGCACAUGUAAGUCCCUGAAAACCCCAAACUUCAAAUCCCUAAAUCCACAAAACUUUUAUUGAAAUUGAAACAUUGUAAAUCUAUGUCAUUCACGAAAUUUGAACAAUAUGAAUAUGAUACCUAGCUAGAUGCUCCUCAAUUGGAUGUAGAAAAAACAAAUCCCAUCAAUUAAAUACUCAAGAAGUUCAGUUGUUGUGGUAGCUAGACGAACGAUUGAACAAGAAUUUCAUAUUUUUUCCUCUCCUUUUUUCUUGAGAAAAAAUAUAAAAAGGUAUUCAAAAUGGUUAUUUGAUUUAAAAGGGUAUUAAAGACUUUUAAUACUAUCAUAUGGUUAUUUUUCAACUAAAUGAAAAAAGAAGGUUAAAAACCAUCUUGAUGACCAAAAUUUGGUUAGUUUUCAAAAUUUCUCUUAGUUUCCUGUAUUUUUCACUAACCAAAAUAUAGGUUCCUUUUGAAUUUCCGUUUCUUUAUAACUCCAUUUGUUGUUUGCUUUUAGGUUAAAUGCUACACAGAAGGACUGCUGUGGGUUCUUUUAUACUACUUUUCUGGUCCCCCAUCAUGGAAAUGGUAAGACUUAUCCGUGAUGCUAUCUACUCAGUGUUGUGAGUAUAAUCAACUAAACAUGAAGUAAAUUAUCAUUUGAACAUUCCUAUCAGGUUUUAUCCUUUUCAUUAUGGACCAUUUGCCUCUGAUAUGAAGGGCCUAGCUCAGGUCAAACCACAAUUUGAGAAGGGUUCCCCAUUUAAACCUAUAGAUACACUCAUGGCUGUCCUGCCACCAAGGAGGUAGCAUUAGCUAAAUUUUCAUGUUAUCGUAAUUAUUUCUUUCAAAUUUAGCCGUUUUCCUAGAAGAUGAAACACAUGUUCAUCCUUGUAGUGCUCAUGCACUUCCUGAGGACUAUCGCGCACUUAUGAUGGAAGACUGUUCAAGCAUCAUAGAAUUUUAUCCUUCUGGUAAUGCCACUAUGACCGUAACAUAUUAUGUACUGGAUUAAUUCACUUUAAAAGUUUAACUCUUUAAGCAUUGCUUCAUGUUUAGAUUUCGAAGUGGACAUGGAUGGGAAAAGAUUUACAUGGCAGGUUUGGUGGUUUUUUUCUUCACAUGUACCAAUUUUCUAAUGUUCUGUUUAAGAUCAUUUUGCAUUGCUUUCCAUCAACUCUACUAUCUUCUAAUUUUCUUUGAAUUGGUUGUAACGUUGUCUGCUAAAGGGUAUCAGCAAACUUCCCUUUAUAGACGAAUCCCGUCUUCUACACGAGACAAGGAAGUUGGAGAAGGAACUCAAGGUAUCAUACUCCAUUUCCUGUUUUUUAAAUAUAGAAUCAAUAGAAGGCAUUUUAUCAUGAGAAACUAUCUAGAACCGACUCCAAGUUAAUGUUACUUUUAUAGGGGGAAGAAAUUGAGAGGAAUGCUGAAAAACUUGAUCGGUUAUUCAUCCGAAGCUCCCACAUUAUGGCAUCACAAAUUGUCUCGCUGACUAAUGGUGGCAAUCAGUCUAUCAAAAUUGACCCCAAUUUGAGGUAGGUCAUUUGCUAUCUGCCUUUCUGUGCUAUUCUUAGUCCUAAUUUUCAGUAAUCUUCUUACUAUUGAUUUUUGUUAUAACCGAGUGUUCUCUUCACUUACCAGCUUUGGAAUCAGUGACUUUAUCCGUCAGCUUGAUGAUAAUGAUGCCAAGGUGAAAGGAGAUGAUAGCUCUGAAGAAGACCCUGUCUUGUAUGUCAAAAACAUUGUUAAUAGCUUAUUCUAUUUUGAUUCUCUUUUUCCUUGGAUUUUUGGGAUUAUUAUUAGUUUCAUUGUACAUGUUUUCAGAUGUGCCCUAUAUGAGCUUCCUAACACAAGUCUGCAUAUGCCUCGUUUACUUGACGGUUUACAACUUCCCCCCAAGGUAUAUAUAGGUCAUUACGUCUUAAUUUGGGUUUAUUAUUUGUAGUUUGCAUGUAGUUUUCUUUUUGUUUGCUUAAUAUGAAUAUGUUCGUUUCCAUUGCUGUUGUAAAUAUAUUUUUUUAUUUUUAUACAUAGUUAUUCAUUGGCAACUGAAAUCACUCUCAAAUGCAUGCUUGAAAAUUAUUUGAUUAUUGACUUCAAUUGUAUCAGGAGAGAGUUUUUGCAGCAAGUUAUAUUCAACAAUUUUCGUCAAUACAUUUUGAAGCUCUUCUGCUUGGCUAAAUGAAAUCAAUUUUUUGUUUGCAGACAAUCAAUGAAUGUGAGCUUCUGGAAACAGUUCUAUGGCAUGAAUGUCAGGGAAAUGCGACCACUCACAGGUGUGCGGUGUGCCUCUAGUGCUUUCACUAUCUUUCCUCUCAUUUAUGUCUUAUACUUGCUCUAUCUGUACUCAUUUGGUAAAAGCAAAAUGCAGCUUGCAGCAAGGUCAAGCAAGGUUCAAAAAACCAAAUGAUUUCGGAAAUAUAAGUUUUCAAAACAAUACUAGACUCACUUCAGGAUCUCCCGCCAAUUCAAUUCACAAGUUUGCUGGUUCUGGAUGGGGUUGUGGUAGAGGAAGAGCAAAUGGCAGUACUUCUGGGGACCAAAACUAUGCUCCAAAGACAACAUCCAGUGAUCAAAGGGAGGUAUCAUCUUCUAGCUCCUACUAUGCCAAGGGUACAACCUCGGAUCACAAAAAUGAAGGCACAUUACAACAUGGCUUUCGGAAUCUAAAAAUAUCAGACUCAGGCCAAGGCUGGAGGCCUACUGGAAGGGGAUUUCAGCCGUUAAAUAAUGUUUUCUGGCCAUCAAGAAGUAGUGCCUCUCAAGACAGAAACUUUGCUAGUUAUGGUUCACAGUCUUAUCAUGCUCGGGGCCGUGGCAGAGACCAACACAAUUCAUGGCAACAAACUUAUCCAAUUGUUGGUACAGGUAGAGGCCAGCAAGACCCUUGGACACACACCCAGCCUCCUUUUUCUGCUAGCCGCUCGUCAUCACAUGCCGGUGGAAGAGGGAACUUUCAGCGUAGUGACUUCAGUGGAAGUGGCAGUGGUAGGUAGCUAGAGCCCUGAAUGUAAAUGGAAGUGUUGUAGUGUUUUGUACAAGUUUUAGUCUACCAUGAGAUCAAGAAGAUUAGUAGGGUAGUUUAUUUUGCUGCUAGUACUUUUGCUGUAGUGGGAACGGGAAUUCUCUUAGAACUUGCAUGAACUUGCAUUGAACUACUCACUUGGUUUCUGAUGUAGUCUAGACGUCUAGUCUCUUCUCCCCCAUGAGGGCUUUGUUCAUAGCUCCUUUUAUGUUCCUUUGGUUUGUUAUUGCGGUGGUUCUAAAAGAAAGGUUAAAUUAUUGCUGAAAUAGAAAUUAACUUGAAGCUAGUAGAAACGAUGUGGUACAAACCCUAUGAAUGGUAGCAGAAUAGCCAAAUUUAUGCAAGUCACAUUUAUGCAGAAAAACCACACCCUAUGAGAGUCUGACUCGUUAAUUGAGUAGCCUGAGAAGUCGUCCAUUAUUUUGAUCAUUCUAGCACUCUAUCAAGAAUGCACCACCAAAUAACCUCUUAGCUGAACAAAAUCAAACCAUGCAAGCUAAAUACCCCAAACUUUCAAACUUAGAAGUGCUGUAACAAUAAUAGCCUUCAAAACAACUGGAUGACUAGAACAAUACGACAACCAAGCUUUGACUAUUGACAAUGGAAGCCUCACAGGUGACACAAUCAAUCUUUGACUCAACAAAUUAGCUUUUAAUCCAGAAAUUAAAAUUGAGAGAAGAGGUUACCAUCAACCAAUACCAUAUUUGUCAAUUUUUCUUUGAUAUGUAGGUUCAGCAGAAGCAUGACAUCCAUUCACAAACAUGUUCAACAAGGUCUGAAUAGACAGCAUGUAACUCAAUUUUCUACUGAAGUUUGCGAUCAAAUCCUUAGUUGUUGUUGUACAAUAAAGCUACCAUUGCAGUAUUUCUGUGGAGCCAUAAUGACAGAACCCAUCCGACGUCGUUAGCCUAUCAUCACAUUUGAAAGCAGUAGCCUACCCACAAAAAGGCCUCCAUAACCAUAAUAGCCUGAAACAUAAGAAUUCUCACUUCUAUGGAAGUUAUAUUCACCAAUGUUACUGCUAGCAUACAUUUGGCUCUAGUCUCCACAUAAGACAAUGAUUGUAUGGCAUAAUCAUUAAGCCAAUUAUGAAUCUCUUUCUUAAAGUCCUUCAGUAACCCACUAACUCUAAUACCAUACCUUAUAUCUUUUGAACAUAAUCAUCUAUGCUUUAUGAAAAGUCGUAAUUGGUGACAAGAGCAACGUGAAAGAUAACUAACUCUAGUGAAGCAACAUCUCUUGCUAUCAGUAUCGAUGUAACAUGAAUCUUGUCAAUGUCUUUCAGAAAAAGAAAACCACUGAAUUAGGGACCAAUUCAGGGGAAACAAUGUUUAUAAGAUAAACCGACAAUGCUUUAAUCUCAGAGACAACAAUUAAGGACCAAUUCCGAGGCAACAAUGCUCAUAAGAAAAACCGACAAUGUUUUAAUCGCAGAGACAACAAUUAGGGACCAAUUCAUGGAUUUAGUAAUCUCCCAAAAAAAUGCUUUAAUCUUAGAGGCAACAAUUAGGGACCAAUUCUAACUAGCCUUUCGAAACAUUCAUAUACCCUUAUUUAUCCCCCAAUAGAGAUGGGAUACCAAUAUUUAUGUUAAUGUAUUCCCAUAGAUUUAUUAUAUCAUGUAAAUGUAAUCUCUAUAUAGCAAACACAAAGUAGAGACACCUCUGAUUCAUCAUAUCAUGUAAAUGUGUUCUCUAUUAAGCAUAUUAUAUCCUAUAUUGAUAAUCAAAUAUCAAAAUCAUAUCACGUAAAUGUGUUCUUUAUUAAGCAAACCAAGGUUUGAAACCAGAUUAUAUCACAUAUUGAUAAUCAAGUAGCAAAACCAUGGAAUAUCUGAAACCCACAAUCUAAAACCCAGAGGCAACAAUUAGGUAACAAUUCAGAGGCAACAAUGCAUAUAAGAUAAACCGACAAUUCUUUAAUCUUGAAGGCAACAAUUAGAGAUCAAUUCUGAAUAGUCUUUACGAAACAUUCAUAUAUGGCGACCUCGAUGUUACUUUGUAACAAUAAUUAAGGGACUGAUGAAAGAGCAUGAAACCCAGUCAAACAUGGUUCCUCGACCUCAAGAAAUUGAAUUGAGAUUUCACGCAUACCUUGUAGAUUUACCAAGAAAAAUCGAGAUCAUAUCACUGAUUCAUGAUCAAAUGACAAAACCCAGCGGAAACCCCCACCAUCUAAAAUUCACCGUCGUGAAUACAUACGAAAUUGAUCAAAGGGUAAACCCGUCUGAAACCCACGACCUCCGAAACCCACGCCGCGAACAUAUCUGAAAUUCAAUCACCGAAUACCACAAUCAAAACCAAAUAUACGAAAUUGAAGAGAAUUGUUUCAAUUGAAAUUUACAAAGAUGAUUAGCAAAAGCGAGAAGAACAAAACGAAAGAGAGCCUCGAGGGUUUUACCUCGUGGUGGUGAAGCCGAGGAACAGUGAACCACGGCGGUCGUUGGCCAAACAAUUCCAUUUUGAAUUUUGAAAAUCUCAAAGAGCUAGAGAGACGUUACUGGAAUUUCAAAAAUGGAAUGAGAGGUAAGGAAAGGUUACUGGAGCUCCAUAUAUAUGAAACGUGAAAGAAACGGCUUAAAGUAGGUUUCUUUGGUUUGAAUACUCUUUCUGCCCUCAACUGGUAUUAAAUCAAGCUCUUCGACCUCGAAAAUGUGAAGUUGGAUACAAUGGGGAUCAAACAUAUCAAGAUACAUUCUGGUUUAAACCAAAUGUACAUUUCUUUUCUCAACAUCAUCAAACUCAUCAUAACUUCAUCACCAACAUCAUAAUUCUCAAAAUCUAAACUAAACCAAACACUAAAACAGUAGAAAAAAAAAGAUCCAUACCUUAAUUAACCCACUUGAAAUUACCCUAAUCCUCAUCAUCAUGAUCACUCUCAUCACUAAAGUAGCCUCCUUUCUUAACCUUCUUCUUCCUCUUCUUCUCCUCCUCCAUCUCCUCACUCAACAACCUCUCCCCGGCCCCACCAUCCACCACAGAAGCCCAAUUAUCCUCCUCAAACCUCUCUCCCCCACUCUCCCACUCCACCUCGUCCUCCCCACGCGCCUCCCCACCACCUCUACCACCUCCGCCGCGCCUCGGUUUCUUCUGCGGCGGCCGCUCCCUCGGCCCGAGCUGGUUCUUGGGGCACUCAUAACUCAAAUGCCCCUCGUCGCCGCACUCGUAGCAGCGGCUCUUGUCCUUGUACUCCCGCUUCUUUAUGAACUCGGCGGCGCGUCCGUUGUCCGCGGCGAUCGACGCCGAGAGCUUCCGGCCGUUGAGGAUCUUGCCGUGCAUCUCACGCGCGGAGGCGACGGCGUCGUCGCGCGUGACGAACUGGACGAAGGCGACGCCUUUGCUGCGGCGCGUGUCGCGGUCCUUGAGGACGGUGACGCGGGCGAUCUUGCCGAAGCGGGAGAAGAGGCUGUGGAGGUCGGAGUUGGUUAGGGAGUAGUCCAGGUUGGCCACGUAGAGGGUCGAUUUCGACGGCGCUAGGGUGGAUCCGGGACCCGAACCCGAACCCGACCCGGUGGAUUUUGUGGGCUUUUGGGCCUGCGGGGCGGAGGGGUAGCGGUUGCAGAGGGAGUCCAAUUCAUCGUCGUCGUCGCUGUUGGUGGCGCUCCUCUUCUUCUUUGGCGCCAUUUUCCCCCAAUUUUUGCAGAGGCUUUUGGUUCUGGGUUCCUCUGUGUGUGUGUAUAUAUAUAGUUACUGAUAGCACGUGAAAGUCACGUGAGAUGCUCUAGAAGUAAAAGAGUGAAAGUGAAUAUUUGCCUUCUUACCUAUUUGCCUAAAAACACUAUAUUCUUGUUUAUUUAGAAUUUAUACCUAUUGGUUUUCAAUUUUUAUGAACUUUACACGAGCGUUUUUAAAUUUUGCUGAUUUUACUACUUCCUCAUUCAAAAUUACUCUCACACUUUGCAGUCUCUUUAUUUUGAUAUCUCUGAUGCAAGUUUGAUGUUCACCUCGUGUGCCUAGAUUGUGAGAGUAUUUUCGUUAUAUUCAUACUGAUGAAAUACUGUUGAUUUAUUUUACAUUAAGUAAAAUUAAAAGGCAUAUUGUCAACUAAUUUUUAGUAAGGAACAAAAAAAAGUAGACUAUACUUGUUGUGUUAAUUGAUGAAUAAUAAUGUGUUCAACAGCUCGACAAUCCGAUUAUGAAAAAGCUUAAUUUUAGUUUGUUUUACUUCACCAGCUUGAACUCAAACGUUUAAGUCGUUACAGUCCUUAUUUACUAUAAUUGAUAAUCUAGAAAAUGUAGGAGUACAAUUGAUAAUCUAAAAAAUGUAGGAGUAAACAGGUAAACAUUAUAAAAUGUAGGGAUGAUUCAGCAAUUUAAAUUAAUUUGUUUUUGUCUCCUAGUUAAAUCACACCUGCCGUUGGUCGAGCUUGAGAAAGAUUAAGCUCGUUACGCAGAGACGAAGGAAGCUUCUCCAGAUUGAAAGCUGCCGGGAACAACUUUCUGAUUCUCCUUGAAUAGAUUGCUAGCUGGGAAGGAAGGGACAAAAUUUCUAGGGUUCGUGUAAGCUAAUUGAUAAAGGUGCCAGCUUUCUUACCAUAUUUCUCUGUUAUUCGAUUGUUUAUGUGCUUGAUUGCUUGAAUGAAUCAACGAAAGAACGUAUUUUGAGAAUUGGGUAUUGGAUGUUUUGCUGUUUGCUUAGAUGGGUAUUGAUUGGAAUUGCAUAGUUUUGGAUUUGGGUGGAGGAUUUGGAUUCUGGAAGUGGAAUUUAUUGACGUGUUUAUGUUUUCAGGAAUUUCAGGAAUGUAGUGUUUGAUUAGAGGUUUAAGAAAUAUAGUCAAUUUUAUCUUUUAACAUAGAUGUGUUGAAUUCAAAAGGUUAUAAACUUGGUUCUGUAAAUGGUUUGGAAACUGGAAGGGGUGAGCAAGUAAGCGGAUAGGUGUUAAGUCAAAAUAUUAGUUAGAUUGCGAGAAUCCGGGUAGAGCUAUAAGGAUAUCUGAAGUGGGGUUGUGUUUUUGUAAUUGCAAGAUGAAGAAGAUCAUCUAUAUGACUUUGUUUCUUAUAGCUUUGAGCUGAGUCAACAGCUGAUAACCCGGUUAUUUGAAUCAGAAAGUAUAGGUUUUGCUUGUUCUGUUUCAGUUGGUAAUCUACAAAGAUCUGUUUCUCUAAUAAAUUCUAUCACUUUUUGCUUAUUUCCCCAUCUUUGAUUUUUGGCAAACCAGUGAUGAACUGCCUUAUGCUUUGAAAAGAUGCAUGGAUUCUCCACCGUUGACGGCUUUGUGGAGAUAACUGAAUGCUUAGGAGAGAUGAUUAAAUAUGUGGCAAACGAACCCUCAGUAGGGCUUUAUUAUGUCCAGCAGCACACUCAAAAUGCAGUGCCCAAUCUCGUUGGUCUGAGAAAUGGUGUAGUGAACAAGUCGCGUGAAACAACUUUGCACACUGAAGAUUCAGAGGAUUCCAUAACCAUGGUGAGAUCGAUGAAAGAAUGUGGAUUCCCUGUUGCUGAUGAGAUGAUUAGGGACAUAAAGAAAUCUCUUGCGCUUAUGUCUACAAAACAACCAAAAAGAGGGCUAAUAGACAACCAGGGAUCAGCUUUUCAGCUAGGAAGAGCAAGUUCUUGGAAACCAGCCAGUUGGGGUCGUUCUCCAAGUCAUGAUUGGCAGGAUAGUGAAGGCAGCUAUUUUUCUACUGUAUUAAAAUCUGCAAAACAAAAGGCCAGCAAUUUGAAGUGGCCGCAAAUUGAUCCUAAAGAACUAACAGAGGUCUCCUCCUACUCUAACCCACCAGUAUCAGUUGCUACUGCAAGCACGAGUUCAUCUCUGCCAGAUACAGAAGCUGAUGAGCUGCCCAUAUCGAGCCAUAUUACAGAUGAACCACAAGAAGAACAAGUCGACGAUAGCUUGUCGUCGCAUAAUUUGUCUUCAUUGUCAGAAAACUUUGAUGAGUUCAAGGCUGAUAGAGAAGUUAAACUACGUGAGUGGUUGGAAGGGACUGAUAGUCCAGAUAAUCCCAUAGGAGCAAGUCAUGCAGAAAGAUCUUAGCCUGUAUAUACUGAUGUAUCUUGUGUUAUUAUCUAUUGUGAGUGAUAAUUGAUAUCACGAUUGUUUGUUAAUAAAAGAAAUUCUUCUCAAAUUCUUUUCCGUUCAAGGAACUAAUAACCAAAUUCUGAAUUAAAAUGUUCAGUAGAAAGCACUCUGAUUAUGUAAAGCAUAAAAGGAAUAGCCCAUUUCAUAGCUUGGUCUCGGCUCAUAUAUGAACUCUCUUGAUGUGACUAUGUCUAGAACCACUUCCGAUGACUAAAAUAUCAAAAUUAUUGAAACAUCGACGGAAAAUUUAAGAAAAUUUCGAGAUCGAUAAAAUUUCAACGAAAACUAGAAACUGAAGCCUAUAGAGACUUGUAGAAUAACUUUAAGUCUUUAUAUCUUUAAAAAUGUCCAUUAGACCAACUAUGUAAUGUAUUUCAAAUGAAAAUAUGAAAAAAAAAUAUUGUUAGAUGAUAGGUUAGUAUAGUGUAAGGUGAAUUAGUAUAGAUUAGAUACUUCUUCAAAUUUAACUCAAAGAAUAUUUAUUUCCUUUUUCUUGAACAAGAUGAAUCUUAAUGUUAAUGUUUUACUAAUUCUAUUGAGAGAUCCCUACUUUUGACCACUUUUAGGGAUAUGUCAACACCAUUGGAUCUGUCAUUUAAUGAGCUUGGAUGACUGAGAUUAAAACAAAAAGUUUAACACUUUAUAUCAAACCUAGACCGUUCAAGAUCAUUAAAAAUAAAUCGAAGUUUUGAAUAACUUAACGAUCACCAAAUUAUAUGAAAAUUUGUAGAAGUGAUCUACUCAUAUAGCCCAAUGAAUUGAACGGUGUAGGUGCACAAAUUUGACCGGGAAGUUGGUGUAAUGCCCUAUCCUUAGAAAUAGUCAAAAUAAGGAUCCCUCAAUAGAAGGGCCUUGUAUAUAUAUAUACAUAGGGCCGUUCGAGAGCGGACGUCCGCAACUAUGUUAAAGUGCGGACGCCAACUCAAAUCAACUUCGGCGACACCGAUUAGCAGCUCUUCUUCCAUCCUCAGACGCCAUUGGCAUCCUGGACGCCAUUACCAUUAAGUUGAAUGCCAAGGUGAUCGAAGAAGAAGGUCCAGCGACGAAAAAACUGCAGAAACUUGAAGAAGCUCAAUCCCGGCUUCGAAACUCAUCACCGUCGAGUCUGCCGGCGAGAAGAAGCUAAAGAUGGAGCUCUUGUUUGGAACCAACAAGAAGAGUUGCCGAUCGGUGCCGUCAGAGUUGAUUUGAGCUGGUGUCCGCACUUUAACAUAGUUGCGGACGUCCGCUCUCCAACGGCCCUAUACACACACACACACACACAGUUCCUAUCCAGAGCGAAGCUUGCUCUGAAAUUAAAGUGUGAAGUUCCUUAUUUGACUCACUUUUCGGUCAUAUUUCGACAUCUCCACCGUUUUUUGUAGAAUCAAAUGCAUAGAUCAUUUAUGCAAAGUUUCAUCGAAUUUGAUGAUCAUUUGGGUGUUCAUAAUCGUGUUUAGACAAACAGUUAUAGUCAAACAAGUUUAUGGUCUGUUCAUUGAUUUAACCUAAUUCGAUACGUAAACGAUCAUCAAUUUGAAUGAAAUUUUGCAGGAAUGAUCUAUGCAUUAGUAUUAAUAAACAGAACGGUAGAGAUGUCGAAAUAUAACCGAAAAAUAAGUCAAAUAAAGAGCUUCACACUUUAAUUUCAAAGCGAAGUUUCGCUCUGGAUAGGAACUGUGUGUGUGUGUAUAACAUUAGUAGUUUUAUUCAUAUACAAAAGUAUUUAAGAUAAUAAGAAUGGUUUAUUGAUGUAAAGAAGAAAAAAAAUGUCAUUGAGAAGAAAUGAUGAGAAAAAAUAAUGAGAUUUAGUAAUAAAUAAAUAAAAUACGAAGACAAUCAACAAUUCUCCUUAUAGUAGAGAUGGUUAUGUUGUUUUCCUUAUAUUUGGAAACUACAGUUUGAAUCUCAAUGGGUACUUUUCCCCAUUUUCACUAAUUUUGUACGUGAAAGGCCUACGUUAAUGGGUCCCCUUUUUACUUGGGCCUAGUGCAGUCGCACACUGGCACUAGGCCAGGGCCGGGCCUGCCCGUAUACGAUCUUUCAAAAAUGACCAGUAAAAAUGGAGGCUUACCAAAACCCACAAGCUCAAACAAAUGAAUUCCAAAGUUUCACUCCAGAUUUUUAGAGGAACAAAAGAAUAGAAAAGAAAAGGGUGCUGCUUAAUGUACCCAACAAAUUGCUAUUUAGACCCAGCAAAACAAUUUUAUAUGAAAAGAUAAUUUUGUCCUCAUGCACAAUGACAUUAACAGUCAUAAUAAUUAAAGUAAUAACGAAACAACCAACCAAAUUUGAAGCAAUCGAACCCAACAAUCUAAAUGUAUAUGUACCCAGCAGAACAAUCUGAAAACAUUCUACAUCCGAGUAAAACCUUAAACGAGAACCCAUCAUCAAAAUUAAAUACAAGAUUAAAUACAUAUUGUAUAUGUUUAUAUAUAACCCAUCAUUCCUUGUAUAUAACCCAGUUCUCUAGAUUAAAACAAUGUGUUUAUAUUGCUGGUGCCCUCUAAAUAACCAAAACAAACUACUGGUAUUUGAUAGCAUAAUAUGCCUACACGUCCCAGGGAGAAAAGCUGGGUUAGCUAGAUUGAAAAUUUCAUGACCCUUUGCUCCCCAAAACCACCAAUCAACAAGCCUGGUGCUUGAGAUUCCUCACACUGCCCAUAGAACAAUUCUGUAAUCUUGUUUUUUUUUUUUUUUUUUUUUUUCAGAGUAAUGAUUUGACCUCCAUACCCGGCUGACAAUUUCCCGAUCUUGUUCGGCGGGUUUUGAGUUCUGGCGCGCCACGGCGAUGAGGUGCGUGACCUCGAAGCAGACGUUAUCGGUGACGCCAACGUUUGACCACUCGGGGAAAUAUGUCAGUAAUUCGGGUCAGAGCCAAGUCGGGGGAGGAGGUGAGAUGAGCGGCGGCGAGUUGGGGGAGUCCAGCAGAGCGAGUUCCAAUGAGUUUCCCUGCGGAUGUGUUUGAGAAAUUGGAAAAAUGUUGAAGAAGAUUCUUCCCGGAGCUUAUUAUUCUUCCUCGAGGAAGAAAUUGAGUUUUUGCGUGAGUUUUGCUGGGUUUAACAAAGGAAGGAAGGGCAUUAUUGGAAUGUUGCUGGGUGUAUUUAGAGAUUUUAUCAUGUUGCUGGGUGUAAAUAGUUUGCUGGGUCUACAUAGCACUUUGUUGGGUACAUCUAGCAGCACCCAAAAAAAACUUCCCCCAAAAAAAGAAAAGAAAAUAAGAUAAAAAUAAUUUUGCCGGGUCAGGCAGAUAAGAGAUGGGGCCAGGCGGUUUACGUGGUGCGGGCCUUAACCGGUUGUGGGUCCCACCAUUUAAAAAAUAUAUAUAUUCUAAGGGUUAGGCGGUCCAAGUGGCGCACGUCUUGACCGGAUGUGGGGCCCACCAUUUAAAAAAGAAAAAACAAGAAAAAGAAAAACAAACUAGACGAGCUAUCAUUUGUGCUUCACGUUUGCUCUGCUUUCUUCUCUUCAAUAAUCCAUGAUUCUUAACACAAUUGAGCUAGGUUAUCGAAUGACGAUCUUGAAGUCGGGGGAUUUACCAAACCUACUUGAUUCCAUCACAUAGUUUAAUUCAAUUGUAGUCGACUAAACACUUUAAAAGGAAAGAAAACACAGAAUGCAGUUAUUCAUUUUUCUUGUUCUUCAUACUCUUGGAGCUGAAAAGUUGCCGGCAUUGCCGGUUUACCGGGCUUUAGCAUAUGAAGUAUUAGGCUGAGAAAUGUUUAUGUCUUUGAGAUCAUAAAACACCGUGCAUUUUCCCUUUGUGGAUAUUACUGGCUCGGUCUAGAUCGGGAGGACUCAGUUCCUCACACUAUUGUCAAACAAUCCCAACUUUUUCCAAAUUAUUGAUCACCCAACCCCAAAACGACCCAUCGACUAUCAUCAAUACCCUUCGUGAGUGCUUGUGUGACUGCACGUUUAAAGUGCAAUUUCGCACUUACCUAUUAGAUUAUGGGUGCUCACGCGUGAGUUUUUCACCCCCCAUUUUCUUUGGUUAUUGGUUUUUGUUCUUGUUCUCGGUCGUCUUUUGUCAACCACAGCUACUUUAGUGUUUGGGUUUCGAUGGUGGCUUGUAUGGUGUUAUUUUGAGGGAUCUUUUCAUCUGGGGCGUAGGUUUUCUUAUGAUCUAUGUACUGUGAUUCGAUUAGCAGCAGUUACUCGGGCAUCAUUGCUCUGAUUUAGUACUUCUCACUACUUCAUGGCAGCUGGUGGCGAUGGCGACGACAAUGCUAGCGAACAUGGUUGGUGGGUGUGGUAGAUUGAUUGGUAUUGUUGCUUUUAUGUUUUCGGUUGUUAGUUUCCUCUCACUCUUUCUAGUUUGAUCGAGUUAGAGACCCCUGCUCUUUGCUAUUUGUAGUUUCUUAGCCUCGUGUUUUGCAAGCUUUGUAAUUGGGUUUGUCCCUUGAUUAAUGAAUUAUUCAUUUCUCACCAAAAAAAAAAAAAAACAAAAGGGAGAGAGUGAAGCACUAUUUCUUUCUUCAUCCAUAUUCAUUUGAAGCAUCUGUGAUGUUACUAACAAAUCUGAUCACAGAGGUACACAGAAAAUUACAAUCAUCUUCACUUCUAUAUUUAAUCGUAAAAGAUCAAGUUACAAUCGGUGACCUCAUUGAACACAUUAGCUCCACCUCUAAUGGACUAGUUGCACACUUGGAAGAACCGAAGAAAGAUCCCAGCUACACUACUAAACUACCAUUCUAUCAGUUAAAUUGGGAUCUCAUGCAUUGAUAGACUACUCGGUAAUGGGCAGCACCCACUUCUGCCAGUCACUUGGCAAAAGCGUCAAGGACAGUAUGUUCAUGAAUAUCAUCUGAAUUUGUUCUCACCCUAGCCAAACAUGAUUCCCGGUAUCAUCAUUUCCUUUUAAUUUGAUGACGGAUAUAUUAAAAGAUGGCAGGGAACGCAGUUGGUCUUGCUCAAUGUACUCAGAAGGCAACAAGUUGAACAAAUUUCUUCAGAACUGAGCGAGGGAGGUGUGGCUCAGCUGAAAGUAGCUCUAACAAAGUUGGCAGCAGAAAAUUAGUGGUGGUCGUUUGUACAGAGUCAAAGGUCAAGAGGAACAGUCCCAUCAAUUGGCAAAGCCUGCACCAUAAGGGACGACUCCCUCGAGCUCAACCAGCCUAGAAUAAAUCUCAUGGCUGAAAAAAGAAGACAGUGCUCCCUGUUAAAAUAAACAUACCUAAAUUAUUAUCUUAGAUAUAAUGCAACAUUGAAAAUAAACCGACACCAGUUUUAAAUGAGCGAACUUUAAAAUACUAAAAGCUUAACCCAAUUGUUGGCCUAGGCAUAGAUUUAAUUUGUAUGUUUCAUACAACUUAAGGUUCUCAUUUCCAGUACAUGUGCUCAGUAUCCACUAAUGAAAAGGAGAAUGUUAAGGUACAUGACUAGUGUAAAUUCAAAGGACAAACUAUAAACUACAAGAGAUGCAGUAACUGGCCAAAACAAAAACAAUGGAAAUAUGAGGAUUACUAAAUUGUCCUUAUCCUACCAUAAACAGAAGAGAAUAUAAGACGGGAAUACAUGGAACUACCCUUGUACAUUUGGGACAAAGCUGAGGAAGAGGUUGUGCACUGUAAGGAACAUGACCAAUGUUAAUGACCAUGACUUAGAAAAGGCUGAUGGAUGUAUAAUGGUGGACAAUUCAAACACAAAGUUGAGAUGCAUACAUCUUUGUCUCGGACUCAGAUGUUUCAGUUUGACAAUUUUGGCUUAAUCAUGAAAACUUUUACAAGACCAAAGAGCCAUUAAGGCCCUGCAUCAGGUUCUUGUAGUCUUUUAAGUCUGUACUAUGAUUCUAACCACUAAAAAAGAAUCAUAUACACCAGACUAUAUAUGAACAUAUGUGGGGUCUAUGCCUAUGUAAUUCAUUCCUCAGACAUGGUAAACCUGGGUACAUACAGUUACUGAACUGCCUCUGUACAAAAUAACAAAACAUGGAAUCUGAUUUAACUACAAAUGUGAGGACGAGUUAGUGACAGCUCACCAGCAGGCAUCAAUUCAUGGCUUCAACACGUCAGUAUUGUUUUGGCCUGUCAAAAUACAACCAUGCCCUAUGAGAAUUUAUGGGAGGACUCCAGUUUGGUUUUAAGGUUUCCCACAUCCCCCCAAUAUGCACAUAGUAAGAAACCCUCAAAUUUACCUGAACCGAGUGUGCUGGAGACUGCUUGAACACUGUUCUUAUUUUCCUCUGGGAGUUUACCAAUAGCCAAGUUUGAAUUACCAGAAAGGGGAGACGCAUUAAUGCUACGCAGUAUUUUAGCCCUUCUGGAAAAAUUAACAGAGAUAACAAGAAUAUACAUUAAUAAUUUAAUUGAAAUAUAAUUUGAUUGAAAAAGUAAAACAGAAAUCUCUCUCAUAGGAGAUAAAGAGAUAAGAUACAUCCAACAUGAUUUUUGAAUCUCAUACCUGACCAUUUUUCGUUUGAAAGUGCCAGGUUUUAGCUUCGAUGUCCCUUAAACAACAAAUUUAAUUGUUAAUCAUUUUGAAAAUUACUAGUUUUCAUACUUGUAAGAGUUAUUAAAGAAGUUAGUGUAAACCACUCACCAGCCUUCAAAGAUGAUAAAGUUGAAGCUGGUUUACGAUUGCCCCUCUCAGCUUUUAUUAAGGCAAUCACAGAAUCAGCUGAAGGCCCCAGACCCUUUCUCCCCACAAGCUUCACCCCAAGCUUUUCACAGAGGUAAUUCAACCUCAUCUCAUCACCACCUCGUACUUCGCGGAGCUCAAGAGCCUGUUGCCUAGAUAACAAAGUGUAAACAUGAAGCUGCUGCUGCUGAUUAAAAUGUGACUGAAGCUGCUGAAAAAGUAACUUAUUUGAGUGCUGUUGAUCAGGUCUUGAUCCUUCAUGACUCUUCUUCCGAGGGUCAUUAAAUGUCACCCUUAAAAUUGCUGUAGACUUGGGAUCAGCAUUUCUUUGACCAAAAAUAACAGAAAAACUUCCAAAUUCUAAAUCAGGUUCUCUGAAUAAAUCUGCAAGAAGGGAAGCACAAGAAUGAGCAUUCUUUGAUGGGUUCCUGUUAACCUUCAUCCUCAGAGCUCGAGCAUUAGCAUAGUGAGCCAUAUUGGCGGCUUCUCUGAGACCACUAAGGAAAGCUCCAUGCAUAGUUGCGGGAUAUCUCCUAUUGGUAGCCUCACCGGCAAAGAAAAGACGCCCAUCUCCAACACUUUCUGCUAAAAUAUCAUAAUCAUCUCCUGAUGCCCCAACUGCAACAUUAGAGUAAGAACCCAGGCUGAAGGGGUCACUUCCCCAUCUGGUACACACAGUUUGGAUGGGCUCUGGGACACUAAUACCUUGUGGUUCAUAGAUACCUGGAAUGAAAUUUAUAAUCACUUCAAAAUCAGCAGCUACCCUAAUUCUUUAAAUUUAAAACUAAAAAGCGCACCGCAACUGAUACUCAGAAUUUUAUAUGAAAUACAUAUGAUUAUUACAUUAAAACAGGAGUACUGUAAUUUCCUUCCGGUUUUCUUUAUUCAUAUUUAUAGCACAACAUACAUUAUGAUUUUGUGAAUAGUUAUUUGCUCGUGAAAAUUUAAAGGUUGUCAUUGAGAACUAUUAUGAUUAAUUGUGAUUUUAUGAACACCAUACAUGUAUGAGAAGUUUGAAUAAAAUUCUUGUUAAUCGUAUUAGAUCCAUCUAGUAUCCUUCCUAAUUUAAGCUAUAGUAUGAGUACAGAGUGUCCAUUAAUAACAAAACUAAAGCAUAGUUGUUGUAAUGUAUAUUUAAGAAAACAAAUGGUUACCCUUAAGAAUCUGCAGAACCCUGGUCACAGCAUCGGUAGGGGGCAUGCUCUCAAACUUAUGUGCAGCUUCACCUGCUACUAAAGCAAGCAAGAGAGGACCACCAGCAACUGUUGCAUAGCUAUAAAACAGGAAGAAUUCCCCUCGACGGCUUGAAUCAUCAGAGAGGUGGCCGAAGGUAUCAAGAUCUGUGCCCCAAAACACAUGAGGAAAAAGCAUUGCAACCUUAUUCAACAGCCCAAACCCCAGCCUCUUAAUUCCAUCAAGCUUUCGCUGAGGCAACUCUGGAAUAAACUUGAUGGACCCACUCUUCAAAACACCUAGCGGAACAGUGCACAAAACCAUAUCGCCCUCAAAAACCUGGCUUCCAGCGAGAAUCUGUACCCCGUCACUACCAUACCUAAUGGUGUGAACAGUUUUCUCAUACAGGAUCGGCACAUUCUCUGCCAAAGCCUGCACCAGCCGGCCAUUACCACCAGGUAAGAAGCAAUGGUCCCCUCCCAUAUCAUACGGAUCAUCUUGGUCCCAAAAUGCAAGCGAAAGUUUUGAUAGUAAACCGGCAUUAGCAUACUCCAAAUUUGCAAGAUGCCAGUUGAAUAAGUUCAUCUCCUCAGCAUUCACAGCAUUCGCAGAAACCUGCCAGAACGUUUCCAAUGCCGAACCAAGAGACACAUCAACCGAAACCCCACCCAUUGACUGCCUAAGCCUACUUGCCUUAUCUAAAAGUUGGUUAAAAACAGUUUCCACCUUCAUAUCCAUAUCAUGAUCCACAGGCUGCCCCUCUACAUUAUAAAGCGGGCACUUGUCUCUAAUCUUAUGAAGCGAGUACCCCAACUGCCGCGCAACAAUGCCAAGCGGGUUCCCUAACGUACCAGUCAAAACACUACCACCUAAAUCCGCUGCUGCUUGUGUCACCCUAAUCCCUCCCUCCAUUUUCUUAGUAUACACACGCCCGCCCGCACGCUUCCUACCCUCCAAAACCGUCACCUUAAACCCGAACCGCAUCAUCUGCCUCGCAGCAGCAAGACCAGCCAGCCCUGCACCAAUGAUGAUCACACUCGGCUUACUAGCCUCAACAGGAAUCUUCUCUUUAAUAGCUGGCGCAAUCCCAAAGUUAAUAUAUCCAUGCGAAACAAGAUAGUUAUAAGUAGAAUCCAAAAGACCAUGGCAAUGCUUGGGUAUAGAGUUCACAAAAAUGUCCUUGGCAACCCAAUUGGACACAUUUUCGCGCCAUUUCGCAAUAAUAUGGUUCCGAAUAAGAAUGUAGUUCACCUGCUCUAUUCCCCCAAUCACUCUAAUAAUUCCGAAAUCGAUUUCCUCCUCGGUGAGGGAAUCGGCCGGAAACCCGGCCGAGAGCGCGAUCAGGGCCUCGGCCGUGGACUCCUUAUUGAUCACGAUGAUCUCGUCGGACAUAUCCGGCGCCGGUUUCGAGCUAGGGUUUUCCACAUUGUGUCUAAUCGAAUUAGCUGGAAUUGAGAUACCAGAAGAAGAAGCGAGACUGUUACCGUUACUAUUGACGCCGCCGUUGAGGAAUUGGGGGAGGUGAAACGACGUCGCGGGACGAUGAGGCCGGCCGCGCCUCCGCUUCUUCGGGACCGUGAAUGAGAGUGGAUGAGACGAGCUAGGGUCUUCGAGUGGGGUCUGACUUGGCGGCAGGGUUGGAUUAGGGUUGGGGUUAGGGUUAGGGUUAGGGUUUUCAGGAGGGACGACGAGGGCGAAUGGGAUAGGGGGGAAAGACGAGAAGUCGUCGGGGAAUUCGUUCGGAGGAUUCAUCCGUGUGCGGUGGUUGGCGGCAAAUUUUUGGGCACGGUGAACUUAUGUGAGGUGGGUAGUGAUCAGAUACGGGUAAGUCUUGGCAGUAAUUUUGUGACACGUGUCCGUGAGGUUUUGGACUUUGGUGAUUGUGGAGUGUGUGACCGACUGGUGCUUUGGGCAUGCUGUCCUUUUUUUUAUUUUCAUUUUUUCCGUCAAAUAUAAUGAGACGAAUAAAAUUAGAUACACAGAUAUUAUUCAGUCUAGUGAAAGAUUUUGAGUUUAGUAAUCAUGAUGAUUACCCUCGUAUAAAUACCAUACAAUAGCAAAUUACAUAUAUCAAAAAUAUAUGUGACUGGUAACUUGUGACAACUCGUCAAAUUUAUUUUUAUUUUAAAAUAUAUAUUUGAUCGUAACAAAAUUUUUAAAAAUCCUCAGUUCCUGACAGUCACUUCUUAAGACACUAAAAAUUAAGAAAUACAUGCUUAUUGAGAAAUAAAAACUUAUCACAAGUUCACUUUCAUUUUUAAAUAUAUAUAUUCAGCUGAUUAUAGAUUGCAACAAUCUGUUUAAUAUCGUAAUAAAAUUGAGAAUGACUUCUGAUAUCUGACGAAUGCUUCUAAAAAAUAAACACUCGAACAACACGAUUGCCUAAGUGGCCGCGAGCCAGCUAACCUUUCAGGAGGACCUCUGUGGAACAUUUGAGCCAUGCCUAAAAAUAGCAAAAACCAUAAAUGUACGUAGCUCCAUUUUUCCCAACGGUCCGACCCUUUUUUGCUUUGUACUUUUUAAUUUCUAAUAAACAAAAAAAAAAAAAAAAGGUUGAAAGCUGCUUGGCUGUUUCAUACUUUUCACACAGACCACCGUCAUAUGGGAUCCAUUCUCACGCGCUUCCACCUCUCCAGCUUCGACUAUCCGAUCCACACCUGAAGCUCCGAACCCGACCCGCUCCAACUCCUAAAGCACUCACACUCAUUUCGCUCUCUCCAUUUUCAUUCCUCUUCCCAAUUCCACAUCUUCAAAGCACCAGAUUCAGCUAGUCUUCUCCGCCAGGUAAAUCCUCCUCAAUCUCUCCUCCAAUUCUUCACUCUUCAAUCUUCGAAUCAAUCUCUCCGAUUAUCAUGAUCAUAACGAUUCUGUUUCUCUGUUGCGAUUGGCGUUAAUGGAAGCUCAGGCGGCCUCUCAGAAUUGCUUCAGCUCCGGCGGUUCUGUUUCCGUCUCUCUACUGGAUCUAGAGGUACCUCUUUUCGCUUUUGCUCCGCCAUUUUUGCAUUGUCUUUGAUUGCUCUAGAAGUAGUUGUUUGCGAAGCUCGGUAAUGCUCAGUUUAGUUGCUCUAUGAAGAAUAGGUAGGAAAUUAGGAGUGACAUUUUUGGCUGUGUUGCUUAGAAGAAGCUCAAAGUUCAGCUCAGAAAACUAGCAUUGCUUUUGUUAAUUUGUUUCGAAAGUGUGUGUGUGAUUGCUCUACGUUUCGUUUAAGCUUGAAGCAGGGAGUAGCAUAUGUAGACUUUCGUUUUUUUUUUUGUAUACAUGUUCUGUGUUGGAUAUGAAAUAGAGUGUUUCAGAAGGUUUGAGUUGUGCAUUAUUUGCUGUCUAGUGGUCUGCGGAAUUGGCACUGGCUGUUUUCGAGAGUAUUCAGCUUUCAAUUUAGGUGAUAUGUCCUCUUAACCUACAGAUAUUGUUUUUUAUUAUAGGAAUACUGCUGGACGGAUAGUUUUGGUGUACUAAUUGAGGAAACCACGUACUCUGUCUUCAUUUGGGACUAAGGCUAUGUCAGAAUGAGUUGAGUUUCACAGCGUCGGCUGCGGUGAAAGCUCAAUAUGGGAAUAUUUGAUGGAUUGCCUGUGUCUCCAGACAAGGAAGUAAGUUUUUUAUUGUAAUUUUUUAAUUUUUUUAUAAAGCUUUAUAAUGUGAAAUCACUUUUUAUGUGUGAAUUAAUUGCCUAUUGAAAUUGGAAUGUUGCAUUCUCAUCACAUAUAAAAUAUUACACAAGAAGGUGCAUGUGACCUUUUAUGAUGUACAAGGAAAUGCAUGAAAUGUUUGUUCUUAAUCUAUAACAAUUUGAACUCGGCAUCCUACUGAAUAGUAUAUAUAAUACACAUUAUAUAGUUACUUUUGGACUAAUAAUUUUUAUUAUUUAUAAUCUGUGAGUUGAGGGUAUCAGUGCUGUGGAUGCUUUUAUCUCUUAUUGUAAGAUAAUUAUAUUUACCGGGUUUGCGUAAAAUAUGUUUUGGAUACUUGAAGAGUUGAUUAUGUGUCUUGGUCCCCAAAACUUCAAAGUUCAUAAAACAAGUUGGGCUAUUGUUGCCUGUUUCAUUUUCCAUGAAAUUUUAGACUUCCACUUUAUAAAUUAUCACAAGGACUUGAGUUUGCCCAACGCACUGGUUGUGAGAGUCCAUAACAUAAAAUUAUUGCUCGUCAGAUAAAGAAAGAAAAUGCAGGUUCCUUAGUGUUUAGGUUGGGCAUUCUGCAUAAUGAAAAUUUUGAACUGAUGAGCAUAAUCUUGAUGCACAAACCUUUUAUAAAGUAAAGUUGUACUGUAGUACAGUUCACUAUCGAGAAGCAGACCCCAUUAGGAUAUACUACCAUUUUUAAAUUAACACUGUGGUAUGUAUACUGUAAUUUAAUUAUACCUUCUGAUAUUUGUCCUGUGAUGUUAUGCUAAUUUCAGUAUCUGAGGGAAGAGAUAUCAAGAAUAGAUGAGAGCUGGGCUGCAGCUCGUUUUGAUUCAUUACCUCAUGUUGUUCAUAUUUUGACAUCCAAAGACCGUGAAGGUGAAGUCGAGUUUCUGAAGCAGCAAAGUGAUGUUGUUGAGGAGGUUGUGGAUGAAGUUGUACACCAUUAUCACAGCGGCUUCAACAAAGCAAUUCAAAAUUAUUCUCAGGUUUCUUAUAUUUUUUUUUUCUUGUUCGAUAUAUAUGUAAUGUGUCUAUUCAUCUCUUAGGUACUCUUUUUUCAAUUUCUGAGAUUUAUAGCACUCAUGCUGAUAAAACUUUGAACCCUUUAGGUGUAAUUACUAAUAAUGCAUUUGCUGUAUGUUCAUUUUUAAGCUGGGUGUGAUAACUAAUAAUACAUCUUAGUUGUAAGAACUUUUUGGAUACAUUCUUUAAGAAUUGCUUUAUAAAGUUUAUUGGAUUGAUUAUAGUCUUCGUAUAAAUAGUUGGCUGCCUUUGGGGAAACUCCACAUAUUCUGGUUUCUAGGGCACUGAUUGAGAAACUGAAAGAAUGUUGAAUUUUAGGAAAUAGCGCUUUUGACUAGCGAGAAGAUGCUUGAUUUAUGUUCAUGAUGAUAUACUUGGGCUGCUUUUGGGUGAAACUCUUGCACCUUCUGGUAUCUUGGACAGUGGUUGAGAAAUUGAAAGAAUGUUGGACUUUUGGAAAAUAGUGCUUUUGGCGAGGGAUUAGAGGCUUGUUUAGAUGAUGUUAUUCUACUCUGCUAUUUUUUAUUAUCUCUCCUUGUUUUAUAUACCUAUUUGCAAAAGGAUUUAAGUAGCCUAUGAAUGAUUCUUGUUGUAAGGUGUGGAUGUUGGUAAAGAGAGGUCUUUUGGUGAGACUAGAGGCCUAGGGUUGACGUUAUGUUUGUUUUGUAAUGGUCUGAGGAUUCAAGGUGGUUUAAUGGUGGCAUUUCUGUAUCUAGAAAAUGACCUUGUUAAUGAAGCUGUUGGGGUGAUUUCUAAUAUGGAUAGUUUACUUCAGCCAUAUCAUAAGCUCAAGUACCUCUCACGGUACAUUUCUUCUUGGAUUGUUCUUUUGGGAGAGUGAUGUGUUAAUACUAGUGUGGUGCUUCAAAAUGGUAAAGGUCCUAGGUUUGCCUACCCUCACUGGUGUACUCAUUUGCAAAGGAGCAGCUGAAAUGAUUAUUCCUUUUUCUAUUUGUCUUCCUAGUUCAGUGGCAGUUGCUAACUUUGGUGCUACAAUUCUCUUCAUAUUCUUUUGUUUUUUAAGCUGUAACGUGGUGGGGUGUGCUUUCAGAGGGUGGUAAUGGUUUAGCCAUAUAGGUGUUCUGUGUCACACAUCUGUUAGGCGUUUCGUUUCAGGAUUUCUUAGGGACAAGGCUUGAAUCUAGUCUUUUCUUGAAUUGAGAAGUUUACCUUUCAUUUUGAGGAUGUUAUGUUUUUCUUGGAUGUUUCUUUGAUUUACUUGUCUCUUAGUUUAAUGUUUAUCCGGCUGUUCUGCUUUGAGUAUAUUUGUCAAAGGUGUACUGCUGGUUCAGGCCAAAAACAAGCAAAAUAUAUUUAUUUUUUUGGGGGAAGAAAAGAAAUGCUAUUUUCUCACUUUUUAUAUAAUUCCUUCCAGAUCUUGCGGUUGUUCAGCGAAUCUACCGAAAGUAUUGGUGUCCUGAAGGUUGAUUUGGGUGAAGCAAAAAGGCGUCUUAGUUCUCGCAAUAAACAACUGCAUCAGUUAUGGUACCGGUCGGUUACAUUGCGCCACAUAAUCUCCCUAUUAGAUCAAAUUGAGGGAAUAUCCAAGGUUUGUCUCAUCCUGUUUCCUGUUUUCGGGCCAUAUGUGGCUCAGUCUUAGUUUCAUGGUAUUAGUUUACUCAUGCAUAAACAUAAUUUAUGACCAUGCAUCCAAAACAUGCAUAUGUAAUUUUAGAUGCCUGGAUAUGUAUCCGACCUGACAAGUAAAGGCUUGUUUUCACACUCACACUCAAACCCAACCCAGACAAACAGACACUUAUUGACUUAAAACUCAUAAGCUACCGCUGAUAAUCAGAACACACCCACAUGUGCACACACGCACACAGUCACUUUGGCUUUACUACUCAUUAGUUAGCACUCCAGUCAGAUUUAACAGAUACGCACCAACACACUGAAUUGUCUUUGACCUUGCAACUCAUGAAUCGGCUCCACAGUUGUAUAUUUUAUUUACACAUAUAUAUGGUUUGAUGCAUCUCUAUUAUCUAGUAAACACCUUGCCACCAAACUACUAGCAAAACAUUUGUCCCAACUGCAUCAUAUUGCAAAAGAUUCUAACGGACCUAUUAUUAUCCUGUUCAAAAUCAGGUUCCAGCUCGUAUAGAGAAGCUCAUUUCCGAAAAGCAGUAUUAUGCUGCAGUUCAGUUUCAUGUUCAGUCGAUGUUGAUGCUUGAACGUGAGGGGCUUCAGAUGGUAGGUUUGUCAACCCUUUGCUUUAGCAAUCUUAUCACAUAAAUUUUUGUCCUUCUCUUAUGGUGGCUUCGUGGAAGGUUACUUUCUAGUAUGUAUACCUAAAAUCAUAGAUCCUAAAACAGUAAAACAUUCUCAACUGGUCAAUUGUCCAGUUUGGCCUCUUUAUCAUUUGAUAUCAUGGUCAUCUUCUCUUUCUCUUCGAUGAUUCCGAGAUUCUCUGAAAACUAUUUUGAUCACUGCAUUGUUAUCCUGCCAAUGUGUCUUUAAACUGUUGGGGUUUGAACAGAAGCUAAAUAGAAAUCCAUGCUGUCUAUCUUUUACUCCAUUUUCCUUUCAUCUGUUAUUUCCUUGAGGCAGUUUUGCAUUGGUCGGUUUAGUUGAAAUGAUACCCUUUUUUUUUGGUGAUUUGCUUAAAUGGGUAAUUAUGAUUGAUGGCCCAGGUUGGUGCCCUUCAAGAUGUUCGCUCUGAGCUAACAAAGUUGAGAGGACUUUUGUUUUACAAAGUGCUUGAGGAUUUACAUGCUCAUCUUUAUAACAAGGGGGAAUAUAGGUAUUACUUAUCCUUUGUUCUUCUUUGUCUACUGUCCUGUAUGUUAAUAUCGCUUUGGCAAUAGCGCACUUUCAAAUAUAGAUAUUCAAAGAAAUUAAAAAAUCUUUGAGCUCGUUUUGUUUAUUUGCAUACUUAAGUGGUGGUUGGGACUUGUGAGGUCCUUUGGUGACUGAUACUUGACAAUUAUUGAAAAUCUACUGGUUACCCAAUUUUGUACCAAUUCAUGUUGGGUGUACUUUGUACAAUUGUUGAUGCUGCUGGUUGCAUGCUGGCCUUGUGAAUUCCUCUGUUUUAUCAUCAAUCUGUUUUGGUUUAUCGAUGGACUAGAGGGGAAAGAUAAUAAUAAAAAUCCUUAGGAUUGACCCUGUUUGAUUGUAAAAUGGAAAUGGUCAAGACCUGUUUUUAGUUUUCUCUCAAACUUCUUUGUCCCCAAAAUUUGUGUAUCAAAAGGGAUUCAAAUUAAUCAACUGGCAGUGGUAUUUCUGUCCGUAGUUUUUAACAGUGUCUGAAAUUGAAUUCCCCCUCCUCCCUCUCAUCCCAAGAUCAAAUUAAUAGUUAACCCAACCAACCACAUGUAUAUUAUUAUAUUUUCUGUUUUUCUUCUGUGCUGGGCCUAGAGUAAGUAUCUGUCUCUCUAAUUGACUCAGAAAAUUAUUUAUGAUGAUUUUGAGACUGAAUAUUCUUGAAAACUAUUUCAUUGUCCUUAAACCGAUUCCUGUAUGUAGCUCUGCUGCGUUGAGCUUGCAUGAAAGGGAAGAUGAGGUACCAACCACCACAGCCGUUGUAUUUUCAAAUUCACAAUCCCUUUCUCGAAGAACCAGGCAGUUAAAAGGUGAUAAUCAGUUUGGUAUUCAUGGAGAUGGAUCAUUUAGAGCGGGUUCUAUUGAUGGAGGGUAAGAUUAGUAUUUAUCUGUAACUGGUUAAGUCUUGCUAUAAUGUUCUGGGAAUUUGUCCUACCUAUAUUUGUUCAUCAAUUGCUCUGCAUUUGAAAGUUAUAUUGGUUUUUAAAUUGAGGCAGCAAAUUUGUUUAACUUUCGUCUUCAAUCGAAGUAUCAUAUUAUGCGUCACAUCAUCAAAUGUUCCAUAUUCGUUACUGGUCAUUCUCUACAGCUGCUUUUUUCUAUGAAAUUAAUUUCUUUCUCAAAGUAAAGCCUCCUGGAAAUGUAUGAGACAAGUCUUAUGUUCGUCAGGAUUAAAGUUGUUCUGAUAAGUGAUUAAGUUAAUAACUAGUAUAGUUCAGAGAGAAAAUACUUCUUAUAGACACAUAGCUGCUUAAUUGCUGUUCUAACUAUACUUGAAAUUUGGAAAAAGGUUCAUUCAGUUGGUAUGAUUUCUGAAUACUAUAAGCAGGCAGUUGUUUAUUAGAUAGGUCUUUCAUGAUAACCUAUAUCCAUUUGCUACUGUGUAAUCGAUUGAAAAUCUAAAACUAUUGAUCGUACAGUGCUGAGUUACAUUUAUUUAUAAAAGAUCAUGAGUUCAUAAUGUUAUUGUUUCUACUUCUAUUCAGUAAACUUCUCUAAAGUUGUGAACGUUUUUAUCAAUGCAGUUCUUCUAUUGAUGGUCCGGACGAGGAGGGCAAUCCGGAAUUGCAUGAUGAAGCUACCUCAGAUGGGCAUUCAACAUCAGCUAGGGCCAAUGGUGAUGUCAAAGUUGUUCCUCAUCAAAUGCCAACAUGGCUUCAGCACUCCACUCCGGAUGAAUUUCUUGUAAGUGAAGUGUUAAUUUUUUUUUGAUGAAUCUCUUCUCUGUACUGAAAGUUUUGGGUUUGUACUUGGGUGUAGGAAACAAUCAAGAAAAGUGAUGCGCCGCUUCAUGUCAAGUAUCUGCAGACUAUGGUUGAGUGCCUUUGCAUGCUUAGGAAAGUUGCAGCUGCUGGCGCUAUGAUAUGGUUCGAGUCUGGCUGACUUAUUAUUCUUAUAUGGUUUUAGUUAUGGUAUUUCUUUCACCGAUCUGUAUGUUCAAGAUGACUCAUCAACUUCUUUGAUAUUGUGUUCUCUCCAAUAACAGCCAAAGACUGCGACCUACUCUUCAUGAUAUUAUCACAUCCAAAAUUAAAACUCAUGCGGAAGUAGUUAAUUCCUCGAGGUCUGGCAUCGGUCAGGCUGCCAGAGCUGCUGCUGCUGGUCAACAUUCGAUAAAGGGACAGUUAGAAAGUUAUCAUUUGCCAAAACAGAAACGUCAGAAUGGAAUAUCAGUAGCUGGAACUCUAUUGGCAGCAAGCCCUGUCUCACCUGUGAUGGCACCUGCAGGGAAAGCACAGGCUGCGGCAAAAGACCUUCUGAAUUCUAUUUUGGAUGCUGUUGUUCGGAUAUUUGGUGAUUCCUUUUAAUCACUAAUGUGUAUUUAUUUCUAUGCCUUAAGUUUGAAUUUUUUUGUUAUGACACUGAAACUGAAUUCGUUUGUAUGACGGCUCAGAGAACCAUGUUGUUGUUGGAGAGCUUUUAGAGUUAAAGUCAUCUCAACAAGCAGACAUGAAUACACCAAAAUCAAUGCAAACAGACAUAAACAUUAAUCCUGAUUCUGAAUCAUCUCAAGUUACUGGAGGCUACAGCAUUGGUUUUUCCUUGACAGUAUUACAGGUAAUGUAUCUUCUUCAAUUUCUUAUGAUAAAAUAGCGGAUGGUUUAAUCUUUUGAAUUUUGUAAAACGAACCCUGCAUCAUGUUUGUCUUAAGACCUCUUUCAUAUCUUUUCCUUUUUUUUUGUAUAUGUGCUAAAGAGUGAAUGCCAGCAACUUAUUUGUGAGAUUCUGCGGGCAACUCCUGAAGCUGCAUCUGCAGAUGCUGCUGUACAAACAGCUAGAUUUGCGAGCAAGGCCCCUUCCAAAGAUAAGAGGCAAGUGAACUUAAUUUGCUUCCAUGUUACCAUUUUACAUACCUUAAAUUAUUGUAUCUGAAUUUUUGAAUUUUAGAUUUUGUCAAUUUUCUUUCUAGUAUUCUGUUUUUUACUGGGACUGAACAUGUGUGGACAAGAAAUUAUGUAGAUAUGAAGGGACAGUGAACCUCAGGUUCAACAACCAAAUUAUUGAACCUGAGGGUUAACUUCUGUUUAGGGACGGACAUUGUUUUGGCUGGACUUUAUUUUGGGCAAUAUUAUUUGUUGUGGAAGAGGGUCUGGUAAACAUGUUUGGUGAAUUGAUAAAAUGGUAUGUGGUUGUUAGGGUUUAGGCAGUGGCUUUGGAAUGUUGAUUCUAGCCUGGACAGUUAUGCUUCCUAUAAAUUUAUGUUGUGAUGUUAGCCUCAGGUGACCUUGGGAAAUUUUAGGUUCAAAUGGGUUUGCCUUUGUAGCACAUGUGGUGUUCGGGCGUCAUGAGUUGCCUCUUUAUGGUGGAGUUUGUCAAGCUGUUACGUGGGUUUGUUAAAGCCACAGUAAUGAGGUGGUCGAGUAUUUUGCUAACUGUGGUGACUACUCUGUAAUCAGUUGUGACUGCUCGACAUCUCUUAAUAUCAGAUGCUUACCAUUUUAUCUGGGUUUUCUUCAUUUCUUAACCAAUCCUUGGGUUGCAGCCUGAAACAUUUGCUAUAUGCUGAAAUUUUAGUGACUAGAAAUGCCAAAUAGUUUAUAUGCAUUUAAGUUAUGCCUUGGUAUAGCAUUUUUAUUUAGCUCCCUUUUCUUCCUCUUGAGCAUAUGUCUGCUUUUCUAUCCGUUUUUAUGGCUCAAGCAUUAUUUUCCUGAUGACACAGGGACAGUUCAGAGGAGGGUCUUACCUUUGCUUUUCGCUUCACUGAUGCUACUAUUUCCGUUCCCAACCAAGGUAUGAAGAUUUUGCACUUGCGGUACCUUUUCUUCAGACAGUCUCACAGACACCCACAUACUAACAGUGUUUAAAUACCAUACCUAUCCCCACUAAAAGAUCAGCAUUGACAGAUGGAUAACAUUGAAUUACCCCCAUCCUUGAGUCAGAUUGACCUUGUGGUUUCCACAGCCCUUCUAUACAGUUUUCUGUAAUUUUAUACAGUUCUCUGUAAAUGGUGAUUUUACUAGGAAAGUGAAAUCCACACUCCCCAAAUUGUAAUCCACACUCCCACUUUCUAUUUUUAGCCAUCAUUUNNNNNNNNNNNNNNNNNNNNNNNNNNNNNNNNNNNNNNNNNNNNNNNNNNNNNNNNNNNNNNNNNNNNNNNNNNNNNNNNNNNNNNNNNNNNNNNNNNNNNNNNNNNNNNNNNNNNNNNNNNNNNNNNNNNNNNNNNNNNNNNNNNNNNNNNNNNNNNNNNNNNNNNNNNNNNGCUAAAAAUAGAAAGUGGGAGUGUGGAUUACAAUUUGGGGAGUGUGGAUUUCACAUCCCUUUUACUAAAUAUGAAUACAAUUAAUGUUGCAAAUUUACAAGGGCCCAUCCCUGUGUCAGACUGUUGGGUAUAAGAAUUCAUUUUUUGACAUUUUCUGUUUUACUUUUGUAAUGAUUAUAAUUAAUAUUUUAUGGUGGCUAUCUUCAUUCUACAGGGGUUGAUCUCAUUCGUCAAGGCUGGAGUAGAAAGGGCCCAAAUGUAUUACAAGAGGGUUAUGGGUCGGCCGCUGUCUUGCCUGAGCAAGGCAUAUAUCUAGCAGCAUCUGUAUACCGGCCCGUUAUUCAGGUUUUAGAUUUGUUCCUUCUACUUUGGCCCACAGUUCAGAAUAUGCUCUGAAUCAUAUUCUUUUGUCCAAUCUACCAUCUCUCUGGUUUUCUUUUCUGACUUUAUGUGCUUACAGUUUACAGAUAAGGUUGCUUCUAUGCUUCCUAAAAAGUAUUCCCAGCUAAGGUCAGCCUCAAAACCAUAUUGCUCUUUCUUCUUUAGUGCAUGUAUUAACUUUCAAGUUAGCAUGCAGUGGUAUUUUCAGAUUUAUAGUUCUUUUCCCUAUCAGAUAUUGUUGCUUUCCAUGAGAAGUUAUAUUGAAAAGCAAAUUAAAACAAUUCAGGAUAAUCACCAUCUUAUAUAAUGAACCCCCGCUGUAAUAUUUUGGAUGGAAGUGUGCUUUGGACCGAAAAAGAGUGAGAAUUUUAUCUGUUGGUUCCCUACUUUUCUAUAUUGGACGCUUAAACACAGAAGCAAAAGCAUGUAUGACCAAAAUUUGUCCUUCUUGGUCAGAACUGAGAACUGGUAGAAAAAAAUAGAAGCAAACAAAUUCCCAAAAUACAGUAUAAGUAAUCUGAUCAUACGGAUUUACAUAAUAUUAUUGCACAUAGGUUUCGCUACGUCUCAAAUUUAUCUGAUCCAUUACCUAGGUUCUUUCUGUUUGAAGUUGGUAGUGCUUAGCUUUUCUAAUGUUAUCAGUUUGAUUUGAUAUUCUCCACAGCUGAAUUGGCUCACCUUCUUUGGUCAUCUUUCAUUCUCUUUCCUAGUCAUGGAUUUGGAUGUUACAAUUCCUCUCUUUCAUUUGCUUUAUUAAUACCAACUUCUGGACCUGCAGUAAUGAUGGUCUGCUGGCUUUUGUGGAGAACUUUGUGAAGGACCAUUUCUUACCAACGAUGUUUGUAGACUACAGAAAAGGCGUACAACAAGCUAUAUCAAGCAAGUUCUAUAACUAAUUACUCUGACAUGACUUAUUUCUUUCAUUAACUUGCAUCAGAACGCAAUGUUUAUUUAUUUACUUAUUAUUGUAACUAUAUUUUUAUAAGCAACCUAUUUGGAAUAUGUGCAUACAACAACAGAAUACAAGUCAUCAAAGGAUAAACUUACCCCAAAAACAAAACAUAUCACCAUAAUAGAAAAAUUAGUGGGCCAGAUAGUUGUGAAGGACAAGUAAUGGAUAGGCUUUUAACUUCCCAGACAUUUUUUUAAUCAGCUUAACGAAAUAAAAUUAUAAUUACUCUUAAUCUUUAAUUUUUUUUAAUAAACUCUUAAUAUUUAUAAAAACACCUGCAUUGUAUUUAAUUUUGACAUGUUGUAACCUGUUCUAUAUGUUGAGGAGCAUCUCAGUGCUUUUCAAUUCUGAAACUGAAAAAGAACAUAAAAAAUCAAAGACCAAAGGAAUGAUGAGUAUGACGGUCUUUGAGAAACAAGGCUCUUGGGAUCUUUUGCAAUUAAUUUCUGAUCUUUUGGAAAUAUUCUUAUAGGUCCGGCUGCAUUCCGACCAAGAGCUCAUGCUGCUGCCUCUUAUACUCCUUCAAUUGAGAAGGGUCGGCCCGUCUUACAGGGACUUCUGGCAAUAGAUUUUCUAGCAAAAGAGGCAAGUAUUAGCGUUUGCUUCUGAUAUAUAGGUCUUGGUAUCAGUCAACUUACUAUUUUCCUGGAGAGUAAAACGUUGAUUCUCUGCUCCAACCUGGAUGAUUUGUUUACCUAAUGCUUGACUCAUUCACUCUAGGUGCUUGGUUGGGCACAAGCUAUGCCUAAAUUUGCUGGUGACCUUGCAAAGUACGUUCAAACUUUUCUGGAGCGAACCUAUGAAAGAUGCCGGACCUCAUACAUGGAGGCAAGGAUACCCUUUAAAUGCCUUUUCUAUUGACUUGAGACACCAUUAUAUUUUUCCAUAGCGAUAAAUAUUUUCUCCCUCAUUGUUUUCUGCCUAUGUUGUUUAGAUUUUAUGGAAAUCUUAAAAUCUUAUGUUCUUCUGGAUAAAUAGUUGCUUCUUUCUUUUUUUUUGGCUCCAUGGGCCAGGAAAUGUAGAGCUCAAACAUACUGCAUAAAGAUAAUUAAAAAUUUAAAAUGAAUCAUAUCUCACAAAUGUGAUCCAAACACUGUAUUACCCGGUUGCCUGUCAUACCCUUAUAUAUAGCUGUCAACACUUAUGAAUUUAUGUGCCUCCUGUUAUGAGUUCUUGCUUUAUUUUUUCAAAAUCAGUACCUCUGACAAAUACUACUAAGGAUGGGUAUUCGCUAGAUAUGGCACAUCACAACCAUGAAAGUGCUUCCAUUAAUAAUUCUACUCACAUUCUGGUACUUCUUCAGGCUGUUCUGGAGAAGCAGAGUUACAUGCUUAUUGGCAGAUACGAUAUCGAGCAAUUGAUGCGACUUGAUCCUGCGAGUGCAUAUUUACCAAAUGCAUUUGGGCAGUCAAACAUGGAAACCCAUGCUUCCGAUGGUGAAAAUUAUGAGGUUGAACUUGAACUGAGUGAGUUAUUGUUGAACUUGCGGCCUAUUAAGCAGGUAUCCUUCUACUUAAGUGAUUGCAUGUUCACUCCCUUUGUUCUUUUUCUUAGUUGAAUAUGUCGGACUUUAACUUGUCUGCAUGUUUUGUUAGUAGUGAGGUUGUGAAUGAAGUACUGAUAAUUUCCUUUGAUAUUAAGAUUAUGAAUUGACGCUGUAGUUUUAACCGUUUCAAAGGAUAAUCUGAUUCGUGAUGACAACAAGCUGAUAUUGCUGGCUUCGCUCAGUGAUUCAUUGGAGUAUGUUGCAGAGUCUAUUGAAAGGCAAGUUCUCUCAUCUGAUUGCAGUCCUGAAUUAAUUCUGAAUUGAUUUGGGUUAGCAAGAACCUUGUUAGUUUAAGAAAGAGAAGAAUCAUGCAGCUACUUUUCUGAGCUGUAUGCUAAAGGAAUCGUUAGAUAGUUCUUUCUUCCCUACACAAUGGAAAUAUACCAAAAACUUACUUUGUCCUUGUGGAUACAAACAAACUGUUUGCAGAAGUUUGAGCUUUCACCCAUUCUUGCAUGGAGUUCUUGGUAGUAUAGUAAACAGGUUCUCAAAAGUAUGCCUUAAAUCAGAACUUUGGUAUGGUCUUAUAUAAAAAAACAAAAGAGAUAUAUUAUAAAAUAUAAUCAUAGUAGAAAUUAAAGAAAAAAUAUUGCCCUGCAAAAGCCACCAAGAUUCUGGCCACAACAUGCAUGCUCAAUUUCCAAUAGCAGUUUUCCCUGCUUAACCAUUUCAUGUAUCACCGACUAAUUAGUUGCUGACGACAACAUGUAUGAUUAAUAAUAUUUAAGUUCCACUUCACCAAAAAAAAUAAAAAUUAAGUUCCUGAAAUAUUAACAAAGAUCCUGAAAUAAUAAUAAAUGAUAGUAAUAAUAAAGAAAAUUUAUUUUAAAGGUUACUAAAUAUUUAAGUUCGGUGGUUGACCUUCUUCUUUACUCCUUUCAGAAUAGUUAGCGUACAAAGUCAUGUCUUUGUAACUCUUCUCUAUC
rnacentral:lncRNA from 1 species